rnacentral:lncRNA from 1 species
GAAGUGAGAGAGAGCGAUUGAGAGAGAGGCUUUGAGGGCGUGGAUUAGGUUUUCAGAGGAAUAAGGAGGUGCUGAAAGUAAAAUACCCUUUUGGAUGUAGUGGCAUGAAAGCAUGGGAAGAUCAGAAACAGAAAGUUUUAAUGGUUUUAUGGAUGAUUUUUGGUUUGGGUAGAUAAUGCAUUUUGAAACUGUGGUUGUGGAAGAUGAAGGCAUUUUCUUUGUAUCCUUGAUUUGGUUCGUUAUGGUAUGUGGUGUUGUUCAAAUGAGAGGGUGGAGUGGGUUUUUAUAGGGAACGUGAAAAAAAGAUUAGUAGUUUUUAAAAUAAAAUAAAAAAGUGUUUCCAAUUUUACUUCCCAACAAUUCUACAAUUUGUUGUAUUUUAGAAACAAAAACAAAAUCAUGUCAGACGUAUGAAACGAACCAAUUUAAUUGGUAAAGAUGUCAGAUGAAACGAGAGUAUGAUAACAUUUUGAUUUAUUAUAAUAUUUUUAUAGAAAUAUUAAUGAGUUGAACUAUUUUUUAAAAUUUUAAAAUAGUAAGUUUUUUUAGAAAUGUGAAAAUAUAUUAAAUAUUAAAAUAAUUAUUUUUAUAAAAUGUUUUUUUAUUUAAAAGAUGUUUAUGAGACACCCAUUAACAAGAUUUAUUCCUUUGAUAAAAUAUUUUUUUAUUAAGUAAUAUAAUAGUAGAAAUAUCACUAUUGCAGCUGAAUAAAAUAACUUUAGAUUAACAUUUAUAAUAUCCAACAACAUAUGGCAUUCUUAAUAAAUUUUUAUUUUAUAUUGUUUGACAACAAAAGUAUAUAAAAAUUAAAAAUAUGCAUAGGAACAAAAUAAGAGUUUAAUGAUGAUCUCUUUGAUAAUAAUGUAAAAAUGUUAGGUGACUAUCCUUCAAUAAAAAUAUAUCAUUUUAUUAUUUUAUAAAAAUAUUUUAAAAUUUUUAAUUUAAUUUAAUAUUAAAUCAUCAAUGUAAAAUAAAUUUAUUCAAAUGUAUUUUUUUAUUAUUAUUUUAUUGAAAAAUUAACGUACAGAUAUUUAAUUUAUAAAGAUAGAUUUAGGAUUAAAUGGAUGACGUGGCUAAAAAUGGUGCUUGAGGAGGACACGCGCAGCUGCGCAUGGUAGUGAGAGUUCGGGUCACUGUGGGAAAGAUAUAUUUUAUUUUCAAAGUUUGUGCGAUUACAGUUUUAUUUAUUUUAAUCAUUUUAGUCCUUUGUUCUACUACUCCUCGUUUCACCAUAUUUCUGCAUUUGAUAAUUUAAUAUAUGAGGUGUCCUAUUUUUACACCACUUUUCUUUACACCUUAGCGUACCCAGUAUAUAACAACAAAAGAAAAUGAUCUUGUAUAUAUUUAUUGUAAAAUAAAUUAUUAAAAAAUAAAACUAUUAUGUUUUAUGUUUAAACUUAUGAGGUAAGUGUUACAAAAAUAGUGUUAAAUAUCUUUUCCAUAUAUAUAUAAUUAUUAAUAUUAGCCACUUUAAAAAUGAGAGAAAUUAUUGUUCUUUCAUUAAAUUUUUUAUUUUUUUAAUCAAAGCAAAAUAAUUAAGAUUGUUAUAUCCCUCUCUUGAAUAUAGGGGUGGCAAUUGGAUUCAUUAAGACAAAAUCCAUUCAAUCAAUCCAUCAAAAAAUUUAUCCAAUCCAUCCAUUACAUAAAAAUUAAGUUAAUGGAUUGGAUUAAAUCCAUCCAUUUAUAAACAUGGAUGAUCCAAUUCAUCCAACACAUUUUAAUGAUCCAAUGGAUUUUUUAUCUAAUUUUUAAAAAAUAUUUUUUUUCAAAUAUUAAAACUUUUUUUAAAAAAAUACAAAAUUAAUUUUUUUUCCAAAAAAAAUCGAUUUUUUCCAAAAAUUUAAAAUUCGUUUUUGAAAAAUACCAAAAUUCGAUUUUAUUUUUGAUUUUUUUUACGAAUAUAAAAAAAUUAUUAUUUUUUGAAAAAAAUGAUUUUUAAAUUUUUUUUUCUAACAAUACAAAAAUAUAUUUUUCUUUCGAAAAAAAUUGAUUUUUCUUUAAAAAAAACUGAUUUUUUUUCAUUAAAAUACAAAAAAAGUGAUUUUUUCCAAAAGUAAAAAAAUCAAUUUUUUAAAAAAUAAAAAAAUUAAUAUUUAAAAAAUGAUUUUUUGAAAAAAAUAAAAAAUUCGAAGAAAAAAAUGGAUAGAUGGAUAUCCAUCCACUAAAAAUAUGAUAAUGAAUGGAUUUGAUGGAUUUUAUUUAUAAUGGAUGGAUUGGAUUGGAUAUUUUUAAAAAAGUUUUAGUGGAUUGUUAAUGGAUUAAUUGAUUGUUUUGAUCCAUCUAUUAACGAUCCAAUUCAUAUCCAUCCAAUCCAUCCAUUUUGCCACCCCUACCUGAAUAGCUCUCACCACAUGUUCAUAGAUGAUAUUAACUUCCACUCUCCUUUUAACAAGCUUGAGCUCUUUUAACAUUCCUUAAAAUUUUGUUAUAAUAGCAUUAUAAUUUUUCAAAAAUUUGGAAAAUCCCUCGUCAGUCAUCCUUCGUAUCUCGAAACGCCUUCUGCAUUUGAACAACGGGCGCUUGAUUUAAAAUUCAUGGACCCUUCUGAGCACGUUUCUCAAUCAGUCCUUACACCCAACAACAAAGACUAUAUCGCGUGGCUCGACAGAGUGCAAGGCCAAUGAAAAGAACAAUUGGAAAAUUUAGGCAUUUUCGACAUAAUCUAACUUUCUAGAAUUGACCAUAAUAUAACCAAGGCAUGUUGCUUGCUUCGAUCUUCUUUUGGGAAGGAUCGAAAAAUACAUUCCAGCUUCCUUGUAGAAUGAUUACGCCGACUCUGUUUGAUGUAGCAGCUAUAACCGAACUUUCACAUUUAAGAGAAAUCUUCGACCCCACGUUGAAAACCUAUAUUGUAUUCAAUUUCUAUAAUCCCGAUUUUAAACAAUACAUCAUCGACUAUCAUGAUAAAACCAACACAAAAGUUUCCGACAUGGAACAUAUUAUCUUUCCAACCCUUUGGCUUUCUCAUUACUAUUUCUGCUCAGGCUCUUUGCAAAUAGAUAAAUGAUAUACCCAUUUAGCAAUACAGCUUCAUGAGGGUCGAAAAAUAUCCCUAUGCAAAUUACUACUAGCAGAUCUGUAUCGACCACUAGGUAAUGCCUCUCACUAAUUAAAACAUCUUCCUGAGGUCAAAAAUAAAUACCUCCUUUAUGGGCCCUUAAGGCUCUUACAACUUUGGCUAAAUGCCACUUUCGAGCCAAAGUUGCACAUUACUAUAUAGAGGGAACUUAUGGUAGAAACAGGUGGUCGACACAUCGAAGGUACUAGGCUUGCCUUGGUUACCGCCAAAGACAACUUCAACAAUCAAGUCUUCAUGAGGUAUAAUUCUCUGCUUCUCGACACACAAAAAAUCAUUUUGACCAUGGCACCCUUCGUGGAUCGAAAUAUCGGUCCCACUUGGUUAGGAAUAUGUUCCAUGGCGUUUCCCCUGUUGUCGCUGCUAUGUCAAAUGCCGUUUGGGCAUCUUUUUUUACUCCAACACCUUUAUCCACUAGAAUCGAAACAGAAAACCUUGGCUUAGGUUUCACAAGUUACCAACCAAACUUAGUGGCGAGACAAUUUGGGUUUAUCCAAAUGGUGCCAAAAUCCCUUUACACAUGGACAGACGACAUUUGUUGGUCGGAGCGGAAAUUUUAUCCACAAGAUUAUCGGGACUGCUUGAAAUUUCAACGUUAAUAGGUCCUUGAGUUACCACAUUUAAAUUUCAGAACUCUUUCUAUUCCUUAGAAGAAUUUUAGAAAUGGUGGUCGAACUACUUCCACAACACUUUUUUUGAAACAACCUUUCUUCAAAGGUUGACAACUGCUUUUUCUGCCUUGCAGGAAAUCUCGACAGCCAAAGCAGGUAUGUGUUUUAAAUAAAUUUUGAUAUUUCAACUUUGUAUCUCAACUUUCUUAUGUACUUCUUUGCAUCCAAAUUCAGGAGGAAAAAACUAAAGGCACGUCCAUGGCUAUCGAUGGCCAAGAAAACAAACCCAAGAAAGCAAGUUUUGUCCAUGUUUAUUUCUCUAUAAAUUCGAAACAAUCUUAACCCCUUCUUUUUCCUCAAGGGUCGAAAACAUGGUCAAAGCUCUCCCACUUCUUCCACUCAACCCAAAAAAAAGGUUACGAAGGCUGCACCAAAGUCGACAGAGAUUCAUUCGAGAACAAAAGUUCAGACAGUAGUGGAAAAACUCAAAUAUUUUCGAAACCAAGACCACAAAAACUCCCUAAACCAAGUUUCAGCAAAAUCAAGAAAGGCGUCACUCGAAAGAGAAACCCUGCGAAGGAUGGUCAACCUUUGACUGCAGGACCAGCCAAAGAAGCAUACAAAAAUCCAGCUACUCCUAAUAAGGAAAAACAAAUCCAACAAGCCAAUCCAAAAAUCCAAACAAAAACCAAGGAAGUAGGCGAGGUACUGAUUACAUUUGUCCCUUCUAUCGACUUACACCUUAGCACAAUUUAAUUGAUCUAGUUUUUAGGCACAACUAGAAUUAAACAAAGAUAUGUAGGACAAACUUCUAAGUACAAAACUAUUGACUUCAAAUAAAACUCUGUCACCUAUUGAAUGGUCGACUCCUCUUGACUCGAGCCUUUCCUUCGUUCAUCCAGAAGCCAUAACAACUGUCGAAGAUGUUUUCAUUCUUGAAACAAAUGAGUUAUCCCCUCAAAUGGACGAUGAUUUUAAGGAUAAUUUUUCUUCAGUCCAUGAUAACUCGAACCAGAAUGAGCAAAAAGCUGAAGGAAAUUCUGACAAAAAGAAGUAAAAAUCUAUAGUCGAGGAAGAAAAAUCCAAACUAUUGUCGAAUUUAACCCCUUGGUGACAGAACACAAACAACCUGAAGAGAAUGAUGGGGAUAAGAAUGACCCCAUGAUUCAGGAUACUUCCGCUAACACUUCCUUAGUCGAUAGGAGAUCUUAGCUAUCAAAAAGAAGAAUCCAACAAAAGCAUUGAGACGAAUUCAGAAACUUCGAAUAUUUUCAACUAGCGCCGGUUGUAAUUCCUUGAACGCUUAUGUGGAGACGACUGCUUCAGUCGAACUUGCAGCGAUCGUGCCUUCCCCCGUGUUAUUGGAUGGUUGUUAUCCUUUGGUGAUGUUAUUUCUGGGAUUAAUCAUUCUCCUAACGUAUAUCCUGAUUGGUUUUCUAACGUUUUUUUUGUUAUCCUACCACUCCUCAAUCUCAUGCACACUCAAAAUUUUGAUAAGUUUCAUAAAUGAAGGAUUUGUGCAAAAAACGUUUAAAAAAAAGUAAUUUAGUGGCACUUAUUAGCUUGAUUAAUUGGAUUUUGCAAGUCAAUCACUUAACUUGUAUGUAAAUAUAGCUUUAUAGUUUCAUCAUGUAAAUAUUAUGAAGUUUGAUCAUUUUGCAACUCAUUUUGUAGUCUUGUUUGCGUUGGAGGAGCUUUGGGAGUUAAAAGGCAAAAGAAUAGCUUCAACAUGCAAUUUUAGAUCAAGAGAAAACCUGCAGACAGGGCUAAGUUUGGUUAAAGCGCAACCAAAUUUCUCAGACUCAUGGCUUUUGUGCUUAGCAUCGUCCAGUUGCGCUAAGCGCCAUUAAGGGCGGUUUGAUCUAUUUUGUCUUCUAGGCGCGCUAAACGUGGUAUGAUGGGGCUUAGCGCGAUCAUAUAUUUCAGAUUAUACAAAUACCAUUUUGAUUCACCUUGUGAAAAAGAGACACCAAUUUUGAAAGAAAGAAACACCAAAAACUCAGGAGAAACUCAAAAAUUGGAGAAUUGAAGCUGGAUACGCAUCAAUCUUUGAGAAGUCAUUAUUGAUGCUCAUUCAUCUCUUCUCUUCUCUAUUGAACCAAGCUACCAUGAUGAUGUGUAGCUAAAUAUCUUGUGUCAGGAUUGGAUGUAAUUAACUAUAAUCAUAUGUAUUUCUUCUUAUCAAUGUUUUAUGAAUAUAUUAUGAAUCAAUAUUGAUGGUAUCUUUGUUUUCAUAUUAAAUUUAUGAGUUUGAAUCAUUAUUGGGAAAUACCUUUCAAAUCUUGACCUAGGAUUAUCAUUUAUCCAAUACUCAAGUCUAGAGAUGGAUUUGGGUUUGAUAUUCGCUUGUCUCAAGUCUUAAUGUUAUCAUAUUGUUUAAUAGGUAGAGAGAUCAUCAAUUAAGAAAUAUGGUAAAACUCACAUCAUCGUUUAUACAUAAACGAUAUUGAAGAGUGAUACGUGAUAAUAGAGAUGAGUAAUUAUAUUCACAUACUAGAUUAGUCGAAUACAUAUGAAAAACGUUAAUGAAAUCUAAUCCUGACAUGUUUCUUUACCUAUUAAUUUCUGAAGCAUUUACUGUUGUUACAUUUUAUUGGAAUUGUUUCUUUUCACAAUCAAAACACUUUUGAACCCUUCCUUAAAAUAGUAUUAACUGUGGAACGACAUGAUAUCACACUAAUCGCUCUAGAGACGAUACAAAAUACUUAACCAAUCAAAUGUGUUUCAACAAAAUGCUAUAGUUUGGGCACAAAUCUGUCAUUACAGUUAUUCAUUAUUGAUCAAGGAAGAACAUAAAUGAUACCGUCAAAUUUAAAGUAUGUGUUUCUUGAAGAGGGUGGUCACAAAUAUGUCAUUAUCAACAAUUCAUUAUCCAACAAGGAAGAAUCGAAAUUGAUUCAAUUUUUGAAGGAAAAUCAAAAGGCAAUAGGUUAGGUGCUAUCUGAUUUGAAAUGAAUCAUUCAAGCCUAUUCAAUGCAUACAAUCAUGAUGAAAGAUGAUUACAAGUCGGUAGCUCAACGACAACAUCGUUUGAAUCCUACUAUGAAAGAGGUGGUGAGGAAGGAAGUAGUGAGAUUAUUGGAGGCCGACAUGAUUUAUCCUAUUUCAGAUAAUGCUUUGGUGAGUCCAUUGCAAGUGGUACACAAGAAAGGAGGAAUGACGGUGAUUACUAAUGAAAAGAAUGAGUUGACUUCGACAAGAACUAUGAUGGGAUGAAGAAUGUGCAUAGAUUACCGAAGGCUUAAUCACGCCACUUGAAAAGAUCAUUUUCCUUUACCAUUUAUGGAUCAAAUUAUUGAAAUAUUAUCAUAUCAAGAGUUUUAUUGUUUCUUGGACAGUUAUUCAGGAUACAAUUAGAUUAUCGUUGAUCCAAAAGAUCAUGAGAAGACAAAUUUUACAUGUCCUUUUGGUGUUUUUACUUAUAGAAGGAUGCCUUUUGGGUUGUGCAAUGCACCAAAAACUUUUCAACGAUGCAUGCAAGCCAUCUUUUCUGAUCUAAUUGAUAAAUACAUUGAAGUCUUCAUGGAUGACUUCUUUGUAUUUGGUCCUUAUUUUGAUUUAUGUUUGAAAAUUUUGGACACCAUUCUGAAAGGGUGUGUCGAAAAUAAUAUGGUUCUAAAUUGGGAGAAAUACAAUUUUAUGGUCACUGAAGGCAUAAUACUUGGCCACAAAAUCUCUUCCAAAGUCAUUGAAGUUGAUAAAGCAAAGGUUGAAGUGAUUGAAAAGCUUCCACUACCAUUGAAUGUCAAAGGAAUCAUAAGCUUUUUGGGGCAUGUCUGGUUCUAUCGAAGAUUCAUCUAAGACUUCUCAAAAAUUGCCAAACUGUUGAGCAAUCUGCUUAACAAAGAUACGUCUUUUUAUUUUGAUAAUGCAUGUUUAAUUUCUUUUGAGGACUUAAAAGAAAAGCUGAUAACUACACCCAUAAUCAUUGCUCCUGAUAGAAAACUUAAUUUUGAACUAAUAUCUGAUGCAAAUGACUAUGCGGUAGGUGCAAUUCUUGGCCAUAGAAAGACAAAAAAAAAUCACGUUAUACAUUAUGCGAGCAAAGUUUUGAAUGAGACUCAAAUUAAUUAUGCUACUACAAAAAAAUAAUUGCCUGUUAUAAUGUAUGCAUUAUAGAAAUUUAGAUAUUAUCUCAUUGGUUCAAAGGUUAUUUUUUAUACUGACCAUGCAACCAUAAAAUACCUUCUUACCAAGCCUGAAUAAAAGCAAAUACUCAUUAGAUGGAUUCUUUUGUUACAAGAAUUUGAUCUUGAGAUUCGUGACAAAAAGGGCAUAGAGAAUUUGGUAGCAAAUCAUUUGUAUAGGUUGGUGAAUGAAGAGAUAACCAAAAAGGAAAGCAAAGUUGUGGAGGAAUUCCCUGAUGAAAAGUUGCUCAUGAUACAAGAAAGAUCGUGGUUUGCUGAUUUAGCUAAUCACAAAGCCACUGGUUAGUUACCUGUUGAUUGUAUUUUUAAGUGUCGGGUUUUUGUUAUCGUCUCCACAGGGAUUGUGAGAUAUCGCCGCCGUUCGACAGUUGUUUCAAUUCUUAACUCGUAGUAACAAGGGGGUUUUGGUUUUAGUCACGGUAUCUUGCAUAAAAGUGUGAGAANUGGUUUUCUGUUCUGGUUAGAAGAGAGAUUGACACAGAGUGUGGAUGUGUUCAGCCAAGAGGGUUGAACAGAGGGUGUGCUCUUGAAGACAUGAAGAUGCGUCUUAUGUUUUCCAUUCAUCAAGUGGGCUGGGUUCUCUUUGAAUCAGGAAGUAUGUGAAGGUCCAACCUUGGGAUGUUGGAUAUGAUCAUGUGUGAUCUCCCAGUUUCAAGAGGAGAGUAGAUUGUUCAUGACAGGGGGAGUUCUGUCCUUGCACUGCAAGUAAUCAUCAAGCUUGUGGUCUAUGUGUUCUCAGAUAACAAGGUUUGGAAACCUGUUAGCUAGUGGGAUGAUGUGGUAUGUGUUAAGGCUGAGUGAGCAGAAGAAUGUCUGACCGGAUGUCAUGACAUUGCCUUGGACAAUAUUUUUAUUUCCUUCUGAAACUUACAGUCAUAAGGAAAUAUGGAGGUAGAUGCCAGUAGGACAUUCUGGCUGGUACAGGUGCUGGAGUUACAGCAGCUGUUAUUUAAUGAAUGCACAGAUUUAGGGGGAGAAGAAGUACCCUUGUGCAUUUUACAUUUGUGUGUCUUACUAGUUGCAUCCAUAACUAGUAAUUCUGAUUGUUGCAAAGAUUUAGGGGGAGGAGAAGUACUCUUGUGCAUGUGUGUAUUACUAGUAGCCAUAACUAGUAAUUGUUUUUGCCCCUGCUGCUGAUUAAACUACUAUUAUAUGGUUUAAACUGCUGAUAGGUUGCCUUGUUAACAAAAAGGACAGAGUAUUCACAAGAUGUCAUAUGUGAUGUCUUAACAUAAGAUAUCUUAUGUGCCUGCUGGAGUUCAAGAAAGUGUUCAUGCAGGAGUGGAUCAAGAUGUCAGACUCAAAGUCUUGGAAUCUGAUAUGGNNNNNNNNNNNNNNNNNNNNNNNNNNNNNNNNNNNNNNNNNNNNNNNNNNNNNNNNNNNNNNNNNNNNNNNNNNNNNNNNNNNNNNNNNNNNNNNNNNNNNNNNNNNNNNNNNNNNNNNNNNNNNNNNNNNNNNNNNNNNNNNNNNNNNNNNNNNNNNNNNNNNNNNNNNNNNNNNNNNNNNNNNNNNNNNNNNNNNNNNNNNNNNNNNNNNNNNNNNNNNNNNNNNNNNNNNNNNNNNNNNNNNNNNNNNNNNNNNNNNNNNNNNNNNNNNNNNNNNNNNNNNNNNNNNNNNNNNNNNNNNNNNNNNNNNNNNNNNNNNNNNNNNNNNNNNNNNNNNNNNNNNNNNNNNNNNNNNNNNNNNNNNNNNNNNNNNNNNNNNNNNNNNNNNNNNNNNNNNNNNNNNNNNNNNNNNNNNNNNNNNNNNNNNNNNNNNNNNNNNNNNNNNNNNNNNNNNNNNNNNNNNNNNNNNNNNNNNNNNNNNNNNNNNNNNNNNNNNNNNNNNNNNNNNNNNNNNNNNNNNNNNNNNNNNNNNNNNNNNNNNNNNNNNNNNNNNNNNNNNNNNNNNNNNNNNNNNNNNNNNNNNNNNNNNNNNNNNNNNNNNNNNNNNNNNNNNNNNNNNNNNNNNNNNNNNNNNNNNNNNNNNNNNNNNNNNNNNNNNNNNNNNNNNNNNNNNNNNNNNNNNNNNNNNNNNNNNNNNNNNNNNNNNNNNNNNNNNNNNNNNNNNNNNNNNNNNNNNNNNNNNNNNNNNNNNNNNNNNNNNNNNNNNNNNNNNNNNNNNNNNNNNNNNNNNNNNNNNNNNNNNNNNNNNNNNNNNNNNNNNNNNNNNNNNNNNNNNNNNNNNNNNNNNNNNNNNNNNNNNNNNNNNNNNNNNNNNNNNNNNNNNNNNNNNNNNNNNNNNNNNNNNNNNNNNNNNNNNNNNNNNNNNNNNNNNNNNNNNNNNNNNNNNNNNNNNNNNNNNNNNNNNNNNNNNNNNNNNNNNNNNNNNNNNNNNNNNNNNNNNNNNNNNNNNNNNNNNNNNNNNNNNNNNNNNNNNNNNNNNNNNNNNNNNNNNNNNNNNNNNNNNNNNNNNNNNNNNNNNNNNNNNNNNNNNNNNNNNNNNNNNNNNNNNNNNNNNNNNNNNNNNNNNNNNNNNNNNNNNNNNNNNNNNNNNNNNNNNNNNNNNNNNNNNNNNNNNNNNNNNNNNNNNNNNNNNNNNNNNNNNNNNNNNNNNNNNNNNNNNNNNNNNNNNNNNNNNNNNNNNNNNNNNNNNNNNNNNNNNNNNNNNNNNNNNNNNNNNNNNNNNNNNNNNNNNNNNNNNNNNNNNNNNNNNNNNNNNNNNNNNNNNNNNNNNNNNNNNNNNNNNNNNNNNNNNNNNNNNNNNNNNNNNNNNNNNNNNNNNNNNNNNNNNNNNNNNNNNNNNNNNNNNNNNNNNNNNNNNNNNNNNNNNNNNNNNNNNNNNNNNNNNNNNNNNNNNNNNNNNNNNNNNNNNNNNNNNNNNNNNNNNNNNNNNNNNNNNNNNNNNNNNNNNNNNNNNNNNNNNNNNNNNNNNNNGUUAACAUUACUUUUACCUUCUGCACGUUAUACUCUGUCGUUAUAAAUAGUCAACUGUAAUGCUGUACAGCUGUGUUCAAUCAAUGUUGAGCUAUGCUGAUAACUAUGCAGGCUCAACAGAAGUAAGUGCUAUGGUUGAUCUCUGUUGUGCCUUUGUACCAGAUGGACAGAACUGGGUGUUCUUCCACUCUAUGGUGAUAUAGUAGCAGAUGUCGGGACAUAUGUGAAUGCGUGCAUAUUAGUACAGGGGUUAAUAAUUGUCUUGCUGUAUUAAUUACAAGGUUAGAUCAGAUGUCAUGACUUGGAGUAGAACAUCUGAAUUCUGACUACACCAGAAUUUCACCAAAAAGUAGCCCCUGCUACUUAUAGUGCUGCUAUUGAGCUGUCAUGCUCGCUAGGCGAGCAGAAUGGCUCGCCUAGCGAGCCCCAAAAUGAGGCACCUGAUGCACCUACGCCCAAAGAAAUAUCCUUUGCCAUAUUUGCAUGUUCGCUAGGCGAACAAAACCUUCGCUAGGCGAAUCCCACGCUUCAACCUUCGCUCCAGCGAGCUUAGGAGGUUUUGCUACUGGAAUUGCUCGCUGGGAGCUCGCUAAUGGCUCGCCUAGAGAGUGAGUGCUGGCUGCGCUUUUGACCAAGUCUGGACGUAUUCGCUACCACCUUCGCUGGCUGCUCGCCUAGCGAGUUUGUUGAUGUUUGCUACUGUAAAAUACUGGAGCUGUUCGUGUUGGUGUAAGCCCUAGAGGCCAAUACAUUUUGGUACUUGUAUCGAAUAAUAAAAGGCAUUCUCUUUAUUAUGGUUGAUUAAUAAAGUCCCUGGAAUAGAUAGUCCGUUUAAUGUAUUAAGUGUGACUUAAUCAUGAGAACACAUUAAACAUAAGGACACUAUUCCUAAAGUAUCCGUAGUCGAGCUUUAGUGUGAAGUGGGAUAACAUUAAAGCAUUAAGACUAUUAUGUUUGUAGACUGAUGAUCACAUCUCAUGGAUCAUGGAUAAAGAGUUAUCAAGUCUUAAACAUAGGUAUGAAUAUUAGGAGUAAUAUUUAUACCGGAUUGACCCGCUAUGAGAAUACUAUAUAGAAAGUUAUGCAAAGUGUCAUAAGUUAUUCUCAUGGUGAUAAUAGUGUAUACCACUCUUCGACCUGAAACCACUAUGGAUCCUAGAUGUAGAGUCGAGUGCUUUAUUGCUGAUCCAACGUUGUCCGUAACUGGAUAACCAUAAAGACAGUUGAUGGGUACUCCACAAAGCAUGCUGAGGGACAUGAGUGUCCUAGAUGGAAUUUGCCCAUCCUGCGUAACAGGAUAAAUGUCUAUGGGCCCAAUAUUGAACUGNNNNNNNNNNNNNNNNNNNNNNNNNNNNNNNNNNNNNNNNNNNNNNNNNNNNNNNNNNNNNNNNNNNNNNNNNNNNNNNNNNNNNNNNNNNNNNNNNNNNNNNNNNNNNNNNNNNNNNNNNNNNNNNNNNNNNNNNNNNNNNNNNNNNNNNNNNNNNNNNNNNNNNNNNNNNNNNNNNNNNNNNNNNNNNNNNNNNNNNNNNNNNNNNNNNNNNNNNNNNNNNNNNNNNNNNNNNNNNNNNNNNNNNNNNNNNNNNNNNNNNNNNNNNNNNNNNNNNNNNNNNNNNNNNNNNNNNNNNNNNNNNNNNNNNNNNNNNNNNNNNNNNNNNNNNNNNNNNNNNNNNNNNNNNNNNNNNNNNNNNNNNNNNNNNNNNNNNNNNNNNNNNNNNNNNNNNNNNNNNNNNNNNNNNNNNNNNNNNNNNNNNNNNNNNNNNNNNNNNNNNNNNNNNNNNNNNNNNNNNNNNNNNNNNNNNNNNNNNNNNNNNNNNNNNNNNNNNNNNNNNNNNNNNNNNNNNNNNNNNNNNNNNNNNNNNNNNNNNNNNNNNNNNNNNNNNNNNNNNNNNNNNNNNNNNNNNNNNNNNNNNNNNNNNNNNNNNNNNNNNNNNNNNNNNNNNNNNNNNNNNNNNNNNNNNNNNNNNNNNNNNNNNNNNNNNNNNNNNNNNNNNNNNNNNNNNNNNNNNNNNNNNNNNNNNNNNNNNNNNNNNNNNNNNNNNNNNNNNNNNNNNNNNNNNNNNNNNNNNNNNNNNNNNNNNNNNNNNNNNNNNNNNNNNNNNNNNNNNNNNNNNNNNNNNNNNNNNNNNNNNNNNNNNNNNNNNNNNNNNNNNNNNNNNNNNNNNNNNNNNNNNNNNNNNNNNNNNNNNNNNNNNNNNNNNNNNNNNNNNNNNNNNNNNNNNNNNNNNNNNNNNNNNNNNNNNNNNNNNNNNNNNNNNNNNNNNNNNNNNNNNNNNNNNNNNNNNNNNNNNNNNNNNNNNNNNNNNNNNNNNNNNNNNNNNNNNNNNNNNNNNNNNNNNNNNNNNNNNNNNNNNNNNNNNNNNNNNNNNNNNNNNNNNNNNNNNNNNNNNNNNNNNNNNNNNNNNNNNNNNNNNNNNNNNNNNNNNNNNNNNNNNNNNNNNNNNNNNNNNNNNNNNNNNNNNNNNNNNNNNNNNNNNNNNNNNNNNNNNNNNNNNNNNNNNNNNNNNNNNNNNNNNNNNNNNNNNNNNNNNNNNNNNNNNNNNNNNNNNNNNNNNNNNNNNNNNNNNNNNNNNNNNNNNNNNNNNNNNNNNNNNNNNNNNNNNNNNNNNNNNNNNNNNNNNNNNNNNNNNNNNNNNNNNNNNNNNNNNNNNNNNNNNNNNNNNNNNNNNNNNNNNNNNNNNNNNNNNNNNNNNNNNNNNNNNNNNNNNNUAAGGAUCUCUAAAGGAGAAAUUUUUAAUUUCCGCUGCGUUUUGGAUCGCAAUUCUCCUUCAGUUCGCUGGGUGCUCGCCUAGCGAGCUCUUCGCCACAGCCCUCGCCUAGCGAGCAAGCUGAUGAAUGCAUCCUUUUUUUGGUCCCUUUGCCAACUUUCUUGUGCCUUCAUUUUCUAUUAUUUCAUGCCUAAUUCCUGCACAAUAACACACAAAUCAAAGGUACCAAGAUCGUUUAUCAUUAUAUUGCAAUUCAUCUAAAACAAAGGUGGUUUCGAACACUUUAGCAAGGAAAUGGAGUGAAAGAUGCCCAUAUUUGAUAGCUCAAAUAAGCACUUUUGGGUAUCUAACAUUACCCGAGGAUUUAACUUGGAAACAUAAAAAGAAAUUACUUCGUGACUUAAAGUUUUAUGUCUGGGAUGAGCCUUAUUUGUUCAAAACUGGAGCAGAUAAUCUUUUGAGAAGGUGUGUUACCAAAUAAGAAGCAAGAAACAUACUAUGAGAUUGUCCAAUUCACCUUAUUACGGUCAUUACAACAGUCAAAUGACAACAUCAAAAGUUCUACAUUAGGGCUUUUAUUGGCCUUCCUUUUUCAAAUAUGCACAUGAGCAUGCCCAAAAUUAUGAUAGUUGCCAAAGGACCGGAUGAGUGAGUAAAAGAAAUGAAAAUCCUUUGCAAAACAUGCUUGAAGUUGAAGUAUUUGGUUGUUAGGACAUUGAGUUUGUUGGUCCAUUUCCUGCUUCAUUUUUAAAUGAAUAUAUUUUGGUAGUGGUUGAUUAUGUUUCCAAGUGGGUAGAAGAGAUUGCAUCUCAAAAGGCCGGUGGCAAAACAAUGAUCAAAUUUUCGAAGAAAAACAUCUUCACUCAUUUUGGUACCCCAAGGGUUUUAAUUAGUGAUGAAGGUUCACAUUUUUGCAAUUCUUAGUUAGAAAAAGCCCUUGAGCACCACGGUGUCAAGCACAAAGUAGCAUCACCAUACCAUCCACACAAAAAUGGCCAAGUUGAGGUUUCCAACAAAGAAAUCAAGAAACUCUUGGAGAAAAUAGUUUCUACUUCAAGAAAAGAUUGGUCUCUCAAGCUUGAUGAAGCAUUGUGGGCGUAUCGUACUGAUUUCAAGGCCCCAAUUGGUUUUACACCUUUUCAAAUGGUUUAUGGGAAAGCAUGUCACCUUCCUGUGGAGUUAGAGCAUAAAGCAUUCUGGGCGUUGAAGUUUCUGAACUUUGAUCCAAAGCUAUCCGGAGAAAAGAGAAAGUUGUAGUUACAUGAGAUAGAUGAGUUGAGACUUUAAGCUUAUGACUCCCACAAACUCUACAAGCAGAAGGUCAAGAAGUACCAUGACAAGAAAAUACUCAUCGAAGAUUUCAGACCAGGACAAAUGGUGCUAUUAUUCAAUUCGAGACUAAAAUUGUUUCCGAGGAAAUUGAAGUUAAAUGGUCUGAGCCAUUCUAAAUCAAAGAAGUGAAGCAUUAUGGUGCAAUUGUGUUAGAAGAUUCAGUUUCAAAAGAAAGUUGGAUUGUCAAUGGUCAAAUAUUGAAGCUCUACAUUGGUGGCGAAAUUGAUCGACUAACAACAAAAGUUCCACUUGUCGAUCCUUGAAGUUACUAAAGAAUCGUUGAGCUAAUUGACGUUAAACAAGCGCUUGUUGGGAGGCAACCCAACUUUGUAAGUAUGUACAACUUUGAAUUUAGUAGUAUAGGUAUUAGGUGGUGAAAGUAAGAAAAAGUCUUGGAAGUUUUAGGCAAAGUUGAAAAUUUAUGCAGAAUUGAUGACGCUAAGCACAGACUGAUGGUGCUAAGCGCGCCCUAAGGCUUUUGGAAAAAACUGAAACAACAGAGGUCGUGCUAAGCAUGGUCUAAUAGGGCUUAGUGCGACCUGAAACUUUAGUAAAAAAAUUAAUUUUUACCAAGCGUAACCUACUUUUACCAAUGCCCAUUUUGGACCCAUGUUGAGUGAGACCCAUUCUAAAACUCAACCUAGCACUUAUUUCCCUCAUUUCCUUCCUCACUUUUGAAACCCUAGCCUCUAAAUAUCUCUAAACCCAAACCUAUUGCAUAAUUUUUCUCAAUCUCUCUUUGCAUCCUCAUUUCUGCAUCAAUUGCCUGGUAUGUUUUUAUUUAUUUUUGAAUUUUUUCAUUGUUUGUAGAUAUUUGAAUGGUAGUUUUCAUUUUCAAGUUGUAAAUGUAUGCAUGUUGGUUUUUCCCUUCUAUUGUUUAUGUUACGGUUAGAUUCAUGUGCAUUUGUGUUGAAAAAAUUAUUAGGCCAACUAUUCUAGAGCAUACUUGUUGUUUUAGGUCAGAUUAGGGCUCAAAGCCUUGUACAAUAAUUUGCACAAAUGCGUUGUUGGCGCUUAGCGCGAGAUAUGGCGCUUAAUGCCCUUGCUGCUACCCAAUUCCUUGACUUUGAAAUUAUUAUGGUAUUUUGUCGUGUUUUGUUGUCCGUGGGAUUACAAAAGGAGACUUUUGGAUUGACUAAUGGUUUUUGAUGUGGUUUGUGCUGGUUUUGUUUGAUUUUGUAGAAAUGGGUCUUAGAAAAAUCAACGCCUCUAAAAAGAAAAAGACUGUUGAUGCAGGCUUUUCAUCUGUGCCAAGGCCCAAAACUGGUAGUUUUAACAGGGAUAAGUUUUUAGGGCCAGAACAGGAAGAGUGACAUAGAGAGCUAGCAAGCCGAAACAUUUGGUCUAAGAGAACCUUCAACAUUAAUUCGCGGGACGACUAUAGGGAAUGUUUGGAAAUCAUUGAAGCAAAAAAGUGGUAAAAGCUUUGCACUCCCCCCAACCCACCUGAAUUAUGAGAUAUUCGAGAGUUCUAUGCUAAUUCCAUUCCAGUUGAAGACCAGCCUUAUUUAUUCAUGACCAUGGUGAGAGGGAGGCAAGUUUCAUUCAGUAGGGAUGUUAUCAAUGAUUAUCUUGACAACCCUCUCACUUUGGAGGAUGGUGUGCUUUAUGAGUAUGGAAAAAAGGCUUGCUAGAGGUGGUUGAAGGAAUGAGUUGAUGAUGGAUGCACUUGUGCUGACAGGUAAGUCUUAUGAAUUUAAUGUUGUGGGGGCUCUAAAGAACCUCCUAAGGAAGAAUCUCACAAUAGUAGCUCAGGUAUUGAUGACUUUGGUCCUUUACAACAUAAGGCCAAGAAGUCACACUUCCUCCAUUCCUUUGGAUACCGCUUAUCUUUUAUUCUAUCUCUUGGAUGAUAGACAACUCGAGGUUGUUAGGAUCAUUGCUAAUGAGAUAAAGAUGAUUGCUGAAAGCGGUCAUAGAUUGGGAAGCAAAACUCAUAUCACUUUGGCUUUCCCAGGGUUGAUCAUGGGGUUGUGCCAAAGAGAUCAUAUCCCAAUGCCAACUAUGGUCUAUGAGACCAUUGAUGGUGUUGUUGACGACAGGUACAUUGAGAGGUAUUGUAUGACAAAGCCAACCAACUAUUUCAGAACUCCACCACCUCCUGCAUAACAACAAACUUAUGAUGAGAGAGUUGCAUGUGCUUACACUUGGGAUAUUCUUGAAGCAAAUUAUAGAGAUUUCAUGUUUAUGCAUGAUUCCAUGCAUCAGUUAUAGCUGCAGAUUAGGGAGCCACAUGUUGAUCAUAGGCUUCCAAUUAGAGAGGAAUUCCAGCAGAAUGCUAAUUGGCCUAAGGGCAUGCCAUUUAAUAUGAAGGGGGUAGCUAAUAAAGAGGAUGAUAUGAAUGAUGAUGAUGAUGCUUGACGAAUGACCUUUUUUAUGUUAGUUUCAAUUUUUAUUUUAUGAUUUGCUUCAGACUUAUUUUGUUGUUUGUUUAACUUAAAUUGUUAGAUUGUUGAACUUAUUUUGAUUUGGCUGAUCUUGGUCCAUCCUUUUUAAGGAUGUGGAUUUGUGGAAUUUUGGUGCGGCAUUCAUGUCGCCAUGAACUUUUGAAUGAUUUUGGUUUGAUCAAUUAAGUUGUUUAGUUUAAAUUGUUUUAGUUUAGAUUACUUUUAAGAUAUAUUAGUUUUUAGCAAAUAUUUGGAUUUUUUGAGAUUGUUCCAAAGAAUUGUAUGGAUUAACUUGAAGAGGCAAAUAACGAUGAUUCCAAAUUUGAAAGUGUCAACAUACAAAUGCGUUGUAAUGAUAAUAGCUUGAAAAGAAUGGUACAAAAGCAAGGUACAUGUUUAUUUCUUUCUAAACCAUAACAUGAAUAUCAAACUUGUAAUUUGUAUAAAUAACAUGUCAUACAUUCUUUUGCACUACUUGUUCAUGAUUCAACAACUUUAUAUCAAAGCCUAAAUGUGAGGAAACUUCCAUUGUUUAUUAUAUGCACAGGAGACCAACAAUCCAUUGUUGUAAAUCGGUUGACUUAUGUUUAAUCUUGAAUUUAUGUUGAAUUAUAUGAAAGUAUAAAAAUGAUCAAUGCAAUUUUUGAGAUUGAGUACAACCACUUAACCAAAAGUAACAUACCUUGUGAGUGAAUGAGAAUUCCUAACCCCUUGGAGCCUUAAUGUCAGGAUUCAUAUCAAUGUUGAAUUGUGAAAAUUGUACAUAAAUAGUUAGUUCAUCAAUGAUUUUUGUAUGGAUUCUGGAUUUUUCUUCUUCUUAAAACACUUGAACCUUAAACCUUCAUUUGAUUGUAAAGUUUUGUCCACUGCCUUAGAAAAUAUGGGAGCACUCAUACUACAAUGUUGGUUGCAUUCAAGUUGGGGAGAAAAAUAUGGGUUGCUGAGACUUUGAAAAAGAAAGAGUUUGAAAAGAAAGAAGAAUGUGAAAAAGAAAGAGGAAAAAGAAAUUGAUUUUUUUUAAUGAAUGAAAAAGUUUGAAAGAAAAAGUGGCGAACAUGAAUUGUGUCAACCAAUGUUAGUCAUGGGUGUAACAUUCAAACAAAGAGAAUUGGUAAAUGAAGUUGUGAAUGGUUAAGAGUUAAAAAAGUGAAUACUCUUCUAGAUUUUGGAAAAUUUGUUUCAAAUACCUUUAGAUAUGACAUUUCUUUGUUAGCCAAGCCACAUUACAACUCUUGAAAGUCCUUUGUGAUUUGUGCUUUUAUGAUUUCAAUGUGAUUUGCUUGACUGAAUACAUAAGUUGAUCAAGAUAUUAGAAAGAUUGUUAGGUGAGAAUCAAGUCCCUCAAUUUUGUUCUUUAUCUAUUGAUGAAGAUGUGUGAUAGGCGUGAUUCAUGAUUGAGCAUGUGUUGUCUUAGAAUUUUUUACAUGAGAUUUGUACUUAGAAUUUGUUUCAUGAUCAUGGUUUGGUUGUAGUAUAGUGGUAAGCAUCAUAUUUCUUGUGCCUUUGAAAAUUUUGAACCAUGCAUUUGUCUUCUUUUCUCAAAACUUGUUUAAUCUUUUGAUGUUGGAAGUUGUUUGCUCUUUAGGUUGGAAAGACUCUUGUUUGAGGAUAAACAAAAGUUCUAAGUUGGGGAGAGUUGAUAAGGUCUAAAUUGUGGAGAUUAUUUGAAUAAUUUAGUGGCACAUAUAGCAUGAUUCAUUGGAUUUGCAAGUCAAUCCCUCAACUUAUGUGUAAAUAUAGCUUUAUAGUUUCAUCAUGUAAAUAUUGUGAAGUUUGAUCAUUUUGCAACUCAUUUUGUAGUCUUGUUUGCAUUGGAGGAGCUUUUGGAGUCAAAAGGUAAAAAAUAACUUCAACAUGCAAUUUUGGAUCAAGAGAAACCCUGUAGAUGGGGCUAAGCCCGAUCAAAGUGCAACCAAAUUUCUCAGACCCGUGGCUUUCAUGCUAAGCGUCGUCUAGCCGCGCUAAGCGCCAUUAAAGGAGGUUUGAUCUAUUUUGUCUGCUAGCUGCGCUAAACGCGGUCUAAUGGGGCUUAGCACAAUCAAAUAUUUCAGAUUAUAUAAAUAUCGUUUCAAUUCAUUUUGUGAAAAAGAGACACCAACUUUGAGAGAAAGAAACACAAAAAACUCAGGUGAAACUUAAAAAUCGGAGAAUCGAAGCUGGAUAUGCAUCAAUCUUCGGGAAAUAAUUAUUGAUGCUCAUUCAUCUCUUCUCUUCUCUCUUGAAGCAAGCUAUAAUGAUGAUGUAUAGCUAAAUCUCUCGUGUCAAGAUUUGAUGUAAUUAACCAUAAUCAUAUGUAUUUCUUCUGAUCAAUAUUUUGUGAAUAUAUUAUGAAUCAAUAUUGAUGGUAUCUUUGUUUUCAUGUUAAAUUUAUGAGUUUGAAUCAUUUUUGAGAAAUAUCUUUCAAAUCUUGAUCUAAGAUCAUCAUUUAUCCAAUACUCAAGUCUAGAGAUGGAGUUGGGGUUUUAUAUUCACCUGUAUCAAGUCUUAAUGUUAUCGUAUUGCUUAAUAGGUAGAAAGAUCAUCGAUUAAGUAAUACUGUAAAACUCACAUCAUCGUUUAGACAUAAACAAUGUUGAAGAGUGAUAUGUGAUAAUAUAGAAGAAUAAUUAUAUUCACAUACUAGAUUAGUUUAAUACAUGUGAAAAAGGUUAAUGAAAUCUAAUCUUGACAUGUUUCUUUACCUGUUAAUUUCCGAAGCAUUUGUCGUUGUUACAUUUUAUUGCAAUUGUUUAUUUUCACAAUCAAAACCCUUUUGAACCCUUCCUUAAAAUAGUAUUAAUUGUCGAAAGACAGUGAUAUCACACUAAUCCAUGUGGAGACGAUACAAAAUACUUACCCUAUCAAAAGUGUUUCAACAUCCACUAGGCGUGCCAAUUUAUUUACUGUGAAAUUUGGUAAAUGAAGACAAGUUUGAUUUUACUUAAGGGAUUAAACUCGAAAAAAUCUCAGGAUAGAUUAUGCAAAAGUUAUGAGUUUGAAACACAUUUGACGUUAAAGUCGAAAAUAAAGAAAAACUUGAAAAUAACUUGUAAUGCAGUAAAUGACUUUAAAAUAAGGAAUUUAAUUCAUGGAGUGGAACUCAAAUACAUACAAUUCAUAUAACUUUUUUCUCACUAAACACUUGGAUACUUCGAGUUUGUAGAAUUUGUGUGAAAUUGCGGAGCUCUAAAAAUACAAACAAGCAUUAUUUAUAUACUAGUUCUAAUGUCCGUCUACAACUGUCGACUUAGCAAACUUCGCCACAUUCCCAACGCCAUGCAACCUUUGCCUCUGCAAGCUUUACACGUGUUCUUGGAUAAUCGUCUGGUCUUAUUUGUUUGUACCUUAUUCGACUGUGUGCAGUUAGUAAUAUCACAUUGGAAACUCCAAGUUUCACUAAGUCCAAAACUUACGUAUCACUGGCCUUUAACACUAAUUGCUUGAAACUUCGACCAAAGUCGCCAUGAUCCUUCAACAUGACCUGAUUGCCAAAAUGCAUAUUUGAUUACAUGGUCAUAACUGACCACUUCGACUUAGGUAAAACUCAAGUCAUCAAACAAGCUUCCAAAAUUGUCAAAUCUUACAUCCAAAGCUGGUGUUGAAAAUCUGAAGUAACAAUAUUACAUAUGCAAUUCAGUGGAAACAAAAUUUUGCUACAAGGUUGGAGUCGGGUGUUCAAACCUUGACUACAAUAUUUAUAAUUUUAAAUAACUCUUUUAAUAAAGAGAAAUAAUAACUCUUUAAUAAAUUAUAAAAAAAACUAUGUCAAAUGAAAUCGAACCCAAACAACUGAAAAAUGCAAGUUCUACCAUGAUCAAUCAAGUUAAUCAAAUUAUUUGCCGGUAUGCAUUUUUAUAUUUAUAUAUAAUCAUUUCUUAAUCAUUAAUAUUUAAUGUAAAAUUUCAAUAUUAUUUAUUCUCAUAAUUAAAUAUUUAAAAAAUUAUUAUCCGACCAAAAUUCAAAGUUAGUUAUUUAAUUUUUUAUUAAAAAUUUAUUUUUAUUAUUAAUUCUGAACCUCUAAAAAUUCCAGACGACCUUAUUCAUCAUUUUAUCAAUUCAAACAAUAAAACAUAAUUUUAUCUUAUUUCAUUCCUCUUGAUUCCAUCAUAUUUCAUCGAUCAAAUCAUAAUCUUAAAGUUUUCUUCACCCUUACCAAAUAUAUUUUUAUGAAAUGAUAUUUUCUUUAAGUGCACAACCUAAAAACACAAACUUGGAUAAACUAAAUUCCAACAUGUCCAUAGUUCAUUUUGUGAUAAUCAUUCUAUUUUAUAACUAUGACAAAUUUAAGGCAUAUGAUAAAUAGAAAAGGCACAAAUUGAAGUGUAAAGAUGAGAUUAAAAAGAAAAAAGUAUAAAACACGUUUCUACCCAUCUUUAAUACUCAUGCUAUAGUGGAAUUGUACGAAGUAUCUUGCCACUUUCAGCUAAGUUAUUGUACAUAUGUAAUUUGUAAACGGCAAUUUUACUUUAGCUUAAAACAUACAAAAUGAACGUUUGCAUAUUUUAAACGUGAAAGAAAUGUUCAUGUCGAUUUUAGAAAUCAUACUGUAAUUUUGUUUUUUUAAUUCUAAUUUAACUAUAACCAUUAGAUGGUUAAACAAUUAAGCAAAUCAACUACUACUAAAAUAAAUAACGUGGAACCAGAAAAGUUAACAAAGAUUCACACAUAUGGUUAAAAAGCUCAUUUAAAAAUAGUGCCAUCCUUAUAGAGACUAUAGAUUCAAUUUUCCACAUACAAAAAUGUAUAUAUUUUCUCUUCUAAAAUGAGAAAAGAAAAGAAAAGUUACGUUUUGAAUUUCAAAUUGUUAGACUUACUUGCCACCACUCUAUCAAGUUUGAAACCAUUUGUUUUUCACUCUUUUAAUAUUAGCUUUAAUAUUAAUUUUAAUCUCUUUACUUUUAUUUUUAAAUUCCCCUAAAAAAUAAAUAAGGUUUAAUAUAUAUUUUAAUCUCUAAACGUAAUAUAAUAUUUCGCUUUAGCCUUUUAACUAAAAAAUAUUAUAAGUUAGUCUUUUAAUUUCACUUAAGUCAUUCUAUCUGAUCAAUUCCGUCAAUUUCUAGAAGAAAAAAAUAUAAAAUUUUAGGGGCGUGACUGGACAGCAAGGUCAUUGGUAUAAAUCUGAAUCGUAGUUAAAAACAGAUAAAUUGUUUAAACGGCGAGAUAUUUACAAAAUCUCUACAGUUUAAAAAAAGUAUCGGCUUUAAUUACAUAUUUUGACUCAGAUUUGUACUAAUGGUCUUACUGUCACGCCACAUCACCAAAAUAGGGUAACGAAAUUGAAGUUAAGGGAGUAAUUUAAAACGAUUUUUAGUUAAGAGACUAAGACGAAACAUUAAAUUAAAUUAAAAGAUUUAGUGAGUAAUUAUGCCAAAAAAAAAAAAGGUGAAAUGUCUAACAUCUGAAAUACCAAAGCUUUAAUGACAAUUAAAGGUAAAAAAAGUAUUUAUGGUUAAGUCCAUGGGGUUGCAAUGGAACUUUUUUGUGAUUAAGUUCGUGGACCCGUUUAUUAAUGUUAAAAUAUUAUAAAUAUUUUUUAUAUUAGUUUAGAGAUAUUUUAAGAUAUUUUUAAUUUUCUAAAAUACUCUAAAUUUGUAUAAGAGACAUUAUAAGAUAUUUAUACUAUUUUAAAUUAAUAUAAAAGAUAUUAUAAGAUAUUUAUAAUCGCUUUUAUUCUAACAGUUAAUAGAUUGUGGUUUGGGUUUGUUAAGGAUUCAUUGAGUUUUAGCAAUUAUAAAUAUGUAUUUGUAUCCCUCUUUUAAAGACAAUAUUUUGAAUGUAGUUUGAAAGACAAAGGGGUAAAGUCUCAAUCUUAUGAGAAAUUUAGAGAGACGAUAGUAUAAAUUCCUGAUUAUGUUCAUGAAAUUUGGAAACCCCAAGAGUUAUCUAAGGCGAAUGUACAAAUUUCUAAAUUGUUGACUUGUGUGAUUCACACAUAGAGAGUUUGACAGACUGAGAAAUACAUGAGUAGAAAAUAUAAUUUGUUCUUGGGAACUUGCAUGACUAUUUUCUUGUAACUCAUUUGUAAUCUUUUAUAACAAUUUUUGGAAGUAUAAUGAAUCAGAGAGAUAUUCUCUUCUCCAGAGUAGAUCGUUUGAUCAAACUGGAUAAACAAGUUAUUAUGUGUCUUGUCUUUUAUCUUCUUUUGACUUGUUAUGGAUUUGCUUUCAUUUUUGGCAGAUUAUAGUGUUGCUUUAGGUCAUUUAUUUUUGUUGGCAUUUCUCUUUGUUCUUACGCAUCAAAUUUCUUGGCGUGUUUGAAACUCUGAAUAAUUCUUUUUAAGUGUUUUGAAUUUUACUAUCAGUUUUUCACAGUAAGUGGCACCCAUUGUAGGGCAAAGCGAUUUUUUACAAGUGAACACAUGAGCUCUAAAUGGAAGAUCGAGAUUUUUUUUGGAGACAACGAGUUUGGAUUGAGGAAAGUGAAGAUGCAAGAAAUUUUAACUCAAGAGAAAUGUAUUUAAGUAUUAAAGGGUGAGACAUCAAUGUAUGCACGCCUACCACAAGAAGAGAAGACCGAGAUGGUAGUUAAAGUCAAAAGUGUCAUUAUCUUAUGCCUCAGGGAUAAAGUUCUAAGAGAUGUCGCAAGGGAGAAGACAACGGUUCGAUGUAGGACAAACUUGAAUUAUUGUGUAUGAUCAAUUCUUUGGAUCACACAUUGUGUCCAAAAUAACAAUAUUUCUGAUUCUAAAUGGUAUCUGAAAAAUUCAUAGUAGAUUAAUUGGCAAAAAUUUACAAGAUUAUAUAUGAUCUUCAGAAUAUUGUGGUAAAGAUUAAAGAUGAGGACAAGGAUUUACGGUUGUUAAACGCAUUACCUAUAUGCUUUUAGUACUUCAAGGAUGCCCUUCUUUAUUUUAAAGAAAGUAUUAUUACUUUGGAUGAAGCCUAGACGCAUGUGACACCCAAAGAAUUUUCAAAUGUGAGAGAUUUAAAGAUUGCCGAUAAUGGUAAAGGUUCGAGUGUCUCAAGAGGAGGAAGUGAGAAUAUAGGGAUGUACAAAUCAAAGAGGUUUGACAAUUCAAAGGUAAAACGCUUUACUUGUGAAAAAAGUCACUUUAUGAGGGAUUGUCCUGAGAUGAAGGGAAAUGAUGAUUCUUUUCUGACUACAAUUUCCUCAGCCAAGGAUAGUUAUGAAAGUUCGGAUGCAUUAUGGGUGUUGGGAUUGGAGACUAAAGAGAGUUAAGUCUUGGACUCAGGUAUCUUUUAUCAUUUGUAUCCAUGAAAAGAAUAAUUUGAGACUUUGAAGCUGGAGCAAGAUAGAGUAGUUAUUCAUUGUGAAAAUAAGGCUUACAAGGUUUAUGGUGUUAAUACAAUCUGACUUAAAAUGUUUGAUGAUCGUGAGUUUCUUCUUCACAACAUGAGGUAUGCUAAAUAUUUCACAUGGUGAAGUGAGCAUAACUAAAAGAUCUAAAAUAUGUGGCUUAUAUAUAUUUUUAGAAGGUACCAAUGUUGUUGUUUGUUCAUCAUCAGCUCGUGAAGAAUUUCAUGACAUGAACAAUCUAUAUGGGAUUUUACAUCAUAACAUGUGGAUUCCGAGAGGUUAUUUCAUAGUAUAUUAAUGAUUUUUGUAAAAGACAAUGGAUAAAAAUGCAUAUUAUCGUUGCGUUGUCAUUAAAUUUAUGGGGUAAGGUUGGUGCCAAAGCAGCUCACCUGGUCGGAAUAUGUUCAUUUGCAUGAAUAAACUUCCAAACACCUAUUGUAAUUUGUAGUAGGAAACUUAAAAACUACUCUUAAUCGAAGGUCACCAAAGCUUUUCCUAUUGUACAAUUCAAGUUAGUUCAUUUUGAUGGUAAAGUUUAGAUUGUAUCAUCAAUGGCUAUCCAAGAGGUGGGAAGGGUUAUGAGCUGUUAGAAAUGGAACUUGGUUGACCUAAGUUCAUCAAUUGAAGAUGUAUUACUAUCACAGAGUGUCAUCAGGGUAAGAAGAGUAAAGACCUGAGUUAAAGCUUUUAGACACUAUGGCAAAGAAGACAAUUAUGCCGAUCUUAGGUGUCAGGCUUUGAAUGUUAUUAAAGGGUUGCAAAAAUCAGAAAUAGGGACCUUCAUGGAUGAAAUCAAAAGUAAGGAGAGUCAAAGAUGGUUGAAGAACUGUGCUUGUGGGCUUGCUAGAUUAUAUAAGAAAGAAAAGGUGAUUGUUCAAUAUUGCGCUAGAACCCUUUCUCCUUCCUCACAUCUAAAAAAACAACUUUAAACCACUUAAGUUUCUCAAACUCUCUUAACUCACAAUUUGUAAGUUUUUUGAUUUUUCUAAACUUUUUUGAUUUUUUGUAUAAAUUUGUAGAAACUGAUGGUUAGGUUAUGAAAUAGAUAGUUUAUUCAUGUUUGAUAGUUUAUACAUAAUGAGAAACAUGUUUGAUAGGAGUUUUUAUUGAUCAAUGCACUAUUUUUUUCAUUUUUAGGGGGAUUGCAUUUCCACCAUUGACGCUAAUGAGAGUUACAUAAAAUUCCGGAGAUACAUCUCCAAAAUUUUCCAACGUUUUGAUUCCCCAAAACUGGAGUUGCAUAUGUGGAGUUUUUCAGUGCAUUUUUUUGGCAAUUUUUUCUUGUACUCAUUGUGUAACGGUUAUGUGGUUUACUUACAGGCAUUACGAAUGAUAGGAAAUAUCUAUUGAAGCAUAACAUAGUUUCACAACAUGCACUUGUUCAGAGGGAAAAGAGUCAACCAUCACAAGCUCUUGUUACCUCUAACCCGGUUAAUGUGGAUGCGUCAGUUUCAGGGGCUCAUGUAUCUUCGUCUUCUUCUUCCCGUAGGAGAUGAGUGUCCCCUACUCAUGCAUCCCUGCCUCCAUCUUCUCGUAGGCAACAUGUUUCACAUGUUCAAGCAUUUGAGGCAACAUAGGUACCCGAGUCGCCAGAGGUACCUCAAACACUAGAGGUACCCUAUGUAUAGAAGGCAACAUAGGUACCUGAGGAACCCUGGGCCCAUGAGGUAGAAAAUGCAUCCCAGGCCCAAGAGGCAGUAGAUGCACCUUAGGCACCUGAGGGGUUUGGAGGAGGCCCGCCAGACUUAUCACUACUUCCGCUUUACCCAGACCAUACUGUUAAACAUGUCUAAGACGGAAAGGUAAAACUUAGUUGGAUUUAUUCUUUUUAAAUUAUGUUUGUUAUAAUAUUAAAUUUUUUUGAUGAUGAUUUACUUUUCUGCAAGAUCGUGAUCCGCUAAAAUUCAUCAACCAUGGUGAAAACGAGAAAACGUAUCGUAUUUUUGGCUCCAUACGCAUUGAUUUUUACUUGAUUAACACUUAUUAUUACGCAGUAUUUUAUGUUUAUUACAGGUAUUUAUCGAUUAAAAGGUUUACAACAAGCAAAAUGGAAAAUAACAAAAAGGAAAGAAAAAUAAAAGAAAAAGAGAAGAAAAUGGAGGAAAAUAGAGAUAAUGGGCCACCAAAGCAAAUGGGCUUGUGGCGCCCAUCAUCUAGGGUGUGUGGCGCCCGCCACAUGGAGCAAAGGAGGUGGUGGCGCCCGCCACCAAGCAUGAGGAAUGGUGGCGCUCAACCCUAUAUUGGUGGCGUUCGCCAAGGAGUCAAAGACUAGGGUUGUGGCAACCGUCACAACCUAGUCUUCCCUCUUUUUCUCCAUGUUUCUAGCCACGAAUCCACCCACCUUCGCUACAAAUUAGGGAUGUGGAAAAUAUAUAAGGACUCUCUCUCAUACUCGUUGGGAUCUCUCUCUUCUUCCAGUUUUCAAUCUACGGAUUAUUUUUAGUCAAAAUUAUUUUCUUUUAGUUUUCUAGGCAGUUUUCUUACUUUGUAAAAGUAAUAGCUCUCCACAUCGGGGACUAUUGCGAUUUAUUAUUUACGCAUUUGAAUUCAAUUAUAACGGUUACUCAUUGCCAAAGCCUUCUGACGUUACUUUAAUCGAAGAAUCAAGAUUGAGUUCCAGUUCUCAAUUCGUAAUCCAGGUUUUAUUUUGAUUGUUGUUUUAUUUAUUUAUGACUUAUUGCAUGUUUGAUUUUCCAAAUACCAUGUCUGUUACCGGAUCCAUGUCCGGCUAAACCCUUAGGUAUCAGUAUGUAAAGACCGUCGAAACGACGGGAUUCAUAAAUAAUUGGUGUUAGUUUUUAUUCCAAAUACCAUGUCUGUUACCGGAUCCAUGUCCGGCUAAACCCUUAGGUAUCAGUAUGUAAAGACCGUCGAAACGACGGGAUUCAUAAAUAAUUGGUGUUAGUUUUUAUAAAACUUAUUUUUCCGGUUUUUAGUUUAUUAUUUUAAUCAAACUGUUUUUCGUACGAGAGUACAAAACAAAUUAAGGUUACGGUCAACAAGAACGAGAAUUUGAGAUUUUAACCAGAUAACUGAAACUAGGCAUUAAUCCUAAACACAGCGAGAGCGCUUUAGGAUUAAUUAGACUUUAUUUAUAUUCAAAAAUUACUUUUGAAUUCCAAAUGAGACCGUGAGAGCCAAGCAUUCUGGUUUAGGAGUAUGGUUAGAGUCAAUAAAAACGAGAGUGUGAGACUAAGUCAUUUCUAUAAAUAAUUUCUACUGAAGAAUAUUUUGACCAAUAAGAUUACACCAACUAUCUAUCGAAUUCCCGAAGUUUGAUGCGUUACAUACCGAUAUCCCGUUAUCGCAUAUCUUUAUUAAUCUUCUAUUUAUGUUAUAGUUAUUUCUCUUCAUCCCUCCAAUCUUAGAACGACCAUCAGCCUUAGAUUUACAUAGUAACAUUAACCAUGAUACGUUCGAUUAUUAGUCCUUGUGGGUUCGAUAAUCUUUAAAACUACGCGAUAGGACUGUGCACUUGCAGUCACGAUUCCCAUAGACUUACUAAAUCGCGAUCACAUCGGCAGAAGAUUACUGGCUUGCAGAAGCCUAAUGAGUAGUGGUUUUAGGAUGUUUUAUAGCUAUGUUGGAUUAGAUACUAGUGAAAGACUAGUUGGGUUACAAUUAGUCAUGGUAUGAUAUGCGUUUGUAUAGAGAUGACACACAGAGACAUCAUCAUUUCAUCUACCACAUGGUGAGAUGUCUAUCACAUUGGACGAUGUCUCGUGUGUGUUGCAUCUUCCGAUUAGGGGGAAAAUUUUAUAUAAUGGGAAGAUUAACAGAGAUGAUGCAUUGGAAUUGAUGGUGAACUAUCUAGGAGUUGACCCAGAGGCCGCCAUGAAGGAGUUUAAAACCACCCGAGGGGCUCAUGCUAGGUUUCAAUUCCUCGAUAAGGUGUAUACUGAUGAGCUACUUAGAGCACAUUUGGCUACUGGUGAUGACGAAUAGGUUGUGCAGCAUAGAGCAUACGCUAUGAAAGCAUACCUGUUGUAUUUGGUUAUCACUUCCAUUUUUGUGGACAAGAGUGUCACUUAUGUGAAUGUCAUCUACCUGUGAUACUUUGAUGACUUUGAGUGGAUCCAUGAGUACAAUUGGGGGGCCGCUUGUUUGGUUUACUUGUACUCUAAGUUAUCUAAAGGUUGUAUGUGGAAGAUGAAACAUGUGACAAGCAUCAUCACACUAUUGACGGUAAUAUUGAUUAGUCUUUUAGUGUUUGUGUGUCAUUUUUGUUACACUUUUGCAAUGCCAUUACUAAUGAUUCACGUGUUCCAACACUUUUGAGGCUUAAAUCCUCUAACACUUUCCACUUUCCUCAUCUGCCUGAGUGCGUUAGGCGGGAGUUUGGUUACAUGAAGUACAUUCCCAUAUAUCCUUUUGUGUCUUAUCCUCCCGCUAUGACACAUAGAGAUAUGGAUACUUUGUUUGAUGAUUAUCUUAAUCAUCUGGUACCAGAGGAGGCACGAAGUAUCAUAGUUGAAAGCAACUUACAUCUGGUGGUUCUUCAGGGUGUCACAUCCUUAUAUGAUACAUGAUGCUCAAUGAGAUCCACUGGGGCCAACUCAUCAAGAGAUACUAGAAUAUGAGUGGGCUAUGACUGAUCAUGUUGUUGAUGUGUUGCCUAGACGUCACUGUAUCAUGAAGAUUAGGUAGGCGGGUAUUGACAAAGGACUCUUUUCGGAUGGCUCUAAGGCCAGAGACACUGUAGAUGCCAUGAUGGCGGAGGCACUGCAGUCACUACGCCAAAUAAGGGAAAAGAGGGCGCUUUUUUUGGCCUAUAACAGCGCUUUAAAGCGCCCUCUAAUCUGACGCUGGCAUAGGUAAAGACAACGCUUUUUUUCCUGGUGAAAGCGCUCUCUAAAGUGGCUCUUUAAGCCCUUUAAGGGCCACUUUAGAGGGCGCUUUUUAAAGAAAGCGCCCUCUAAAGUGGAAACUUUUAAGGGUUUAGAGGGCGCUUUUACUGGAAAGCGCCCUCUAAAGUGGAAACUUUUAAGGUUUAGAGGGCGCUUUUACUGGAAAGCGCCCUCUAAAGUGGAAACUUUAAGGGUUUAGAGGGCGCUUAUUUUGGAAAGCGCCCUCUAAAGUGGGUGGUUAUUUAAUUUUUUUUUUUUAAAAAGCGCUAUAUUUAUUUAUUUAUUUUAGACAACCUGUAUAUUGAAGCAGUACACCUAAAACUGUAUAAUUUGAAGCCCUUUUUCACACAUUGCAUUCAACAAGCCUUAUAUACAACAAUCCAUACAUAUACAACAAUCCACUGAUAUAUAAUCGUUUAACUUCUAAAGAUUCUAAAUAUACAACCAAUUCAUAACUUAAAAAGAAAUAAAACUAAGUAGCAAAAGCAUCUCUGAGAUGUAUGUUUUUUUUGCUAGCCGCAGUCUUCUUAGCAACAACCUCUUUUUGUUCAAUAUCAAUAGCAUGAACCUAAAAUAUCAUAAAAUUAGUUAGGUGAAGUAUAAGAUCAAGAAUUAACAUUUUCUAUGCAUAAAUAUCAUAUAAUUGUGUUUAUACCUUUUUUUUUAUGCAACUGACUCGAUUUGCUGUAAUAAAAGCCAUUUUACCUGUAAUAAAGAAAACAAUUAAAAUCAUUUGACCUGUACCUUUUUCACUAAGUUCUCUUUCUUUUCUUGGUUGGAAUAUGUUCUACAUGUCUCUUAACAACACGGACGGUUGGAUUGAUCCAAAUACCCUCAUUAUGAUCAUUUCUAAUAUAUGAAUCAUUUGAUAUAAUAUUCUCAUCUUGAUCAUUUCUGGUAAACGAUUCAAUCUCAACAUCAAUAUCACCUUGAUCUCCAGUGUUUUCAUCAAUUACUUUGUUGGAAAAAAGAACUAUAGACCAUUUCGUACUUUUUGGAUCAUUGACAUAGAACACUUGUCUAGCUUGAGAGGCUAGAAUAAAAGACUCAUCUUUGUAUCCCACCCUAUUAAGAUCCACUUGCAAAAAUCCUGACUUAUCCAUUCGAAUGCCGUUAUUAUUUUCAACCCACUUGCAACCAAAUAUAGGAAUCUGAAACUUCUCAUAAUCAAACACCCAAAUGCGCUCGAUAACACCAAAAUACGACAGAUUUGCAAAUUUGGGGUUUAAGUCCUUCACACUUGAUAUGUGCAUUGCUUCAGCUACCACGGUGACACCACUAUUCUGCAUAGUACUUUUAUCAUCUUGUUCUUUGGUAUAAAAUGUGUAUCCAUUAAUCGCGUAUGCGCUAUAAGAAAAAACAUGGAAACUUGGACCAUAUGCUAAGCAUCUCAACCUUUCUGUUAUUGAAGCGGGAUCUGAAUAAUACUUUGAAUAAAUAUGAUCCUUAAACCAAGGUAUAAAACAUCGAUUGUGCUCUCGUACUAUCCAAUUUUCAUUUCUAUUGGGAUUUAAACCUCGGAGAACAUCCUUGUGAAUUUCAACAUACGGCUCAACCUCAUUCUCAUUGUGCAGAACAUACAAAUGCACUUGAUCCCGUUCGACCCUUGAUACUGCCACGAUUUUAUUUCCAAUUAGAUUUUUUCCUUCUUUCUUUUCGACAAGCUGAGACUUGGGGAGUCCGAUUGACUGAACAUUAGACAAAUAUUCAGUACAAAACUCAAUCGCUUCUUCAACAAUGUAUCUUUCAACCAUACAACCUUCUGGUCGACUUCGGUUCUUCACGUACCCUUUUAAUAUUUUCAUAUAACGUUCAACAGGGUACAUCCAUCUCAUAUAAGCUGGUCCACACAAUUGUGUCUCUUUCACAAGAUGAACAACUAGAUGUACCAUUAUGUCAAAAAAUGAUGGAGGAAAAAACAUUUCAAGCUCACACAAAGUAAUAACGAUUUCUUUUUGCAACAUUGGUAAGAUCGCAGGAUUGAUCACCUUACUGCAAAUUGACUUGAAGAAAGAACACAACUUAGUUAUAGAGCUUCUUACUUUUUCUGGAAGAAUAGAACGUAUACCUAUUGGGAGAAAAUGUUCCAUUAUAACAUGGCAAUCAUGGGUCUUUAAACUCUUUAACUUGAGGUCUUUCAUAGACACAAGUCUUCUAAUAUCUGAAGAGUACCCUUCUGGAACUUUAACUUCACUUAGAAACUUACACAAUGUUUUUUUCUCCUUUCUAGAUAGAGUAUAAGCAGCAGGCGGUAGAUAUGUUCGUUUUCCUUUCUUCAAGGGUCCUAAUUCAGUUCUUAUUCCCAUCGCUAUCAAGUCCUUUCUUGCCUUAAGGCCAUCCUUAGACUUUCCUUGUAUAUUGAGUAACGUGCCAAUAACACUUUCAAAUACAUUUUUUUCAAUAUGCAUAACAUCAAGAAAAUGUCUCACAUACAAGGACUUCCAAUACGGCAAUUCAAAAAAAACUGACCUCUUCUUCCACCCACUUUUGACAAGUGUGUGGGCAAAAGGCUUGCCAAACUGAGUAUCCAAAUCUUUCACCUUUUCAAAAAUUUGAUCACCCGUCAAUAUAGGUGGAGCUCUGCCUUGUUCUGUCUCUCCAUUGAACGCCUUUCUCCAUCCACGGUAGUGAUGAUUUGAAUUUAAGAAUCUCCGAUGACCGAGAAAGACAUUCUUCUGACCAAACUCCAAGCGCUUCCAAUCUGUUUUAUCUUCACAAAUAGGACACGCACAUUGACCUUUUAUGCUAUACCCUGAUAGAUUUCCGUAUGCUGGAAAAUCAUUAAUUGUGCCAAACAACAUCGCCCUCAAGUUGAAACUUUCUUUCCUAUAUCCAUCAUAAACCUCCACACCGGUCUCCCACAAAAUCUUUAAAUCUUCGAUUAAGGGCUUCAAGUACACGUCUAUGUCAUUCCCUGGUUGUUUAGGUCCAGAAAUCAACAUAGACAACAUCAUGUACUUACGCUUCAUACAUAGCCAUGGAGGUAGGUUAUAAAUCAUAAUAAUCACAGGCCAUGUACUGUGUGAGAUACUCUGGAUACCGUGUGGGUUCAUUCCAUCAGUAGAUAAUGCCAAGCGAAGGUUUCUUGAUUCUUCUCCAAAUUCAGGAUAAUCAUUAUCAAUUUUCAACCACUGUGGUGAAUCUGCCGGAUGUCGAUACUUUCCAUCUAUAAUUCUUUCAUCUGCAUGCCAGGUCAAGUGUCUUGAAUCGGUUUCACUACGAAACAUGCGUCUAAAUCUCGGAAUAACAGGAAAAUACCACAAGACUUUUGCUGGAGACAACUUGUUCUUAUAUCGCGAGACACCGCAUUUAGGACACUCAUUUAACGAUGCAUACUCAUUUCGAAACAAAACGCAAUCGUUUGGACAUGCAUGUAUCUUAUCAUAGCUCAUGCCAAUAGAGCACAACAUCUUUUUGGUCUCAUAUGUUCGAUUGGGAAGAACAUUAUCCUCAGGAAGCAUAUCUUUCAAAAGGGCUAAUAACUCUGUGAAACUUUUAUCCGACCAUCCAUUGCCCGCCUUUAAGUUGUACAACUUUAAUACCGCAGACAAUCUUGUGAAUUUAGUGCAACCAUCAUACAAAGGUUUCUCUGCAUCACUUACCAACCUCUCAAACAUUUCGGGACAAUCCUUAAGAUCUCCUUCAAGUGCUUCUGCAAUCUCUUCAACUCGAUCACAAUCGUAUGUAUCUGCGCCACUAUAGUUUGAGGCAUAGGUCGUACUAUCCCCCGGUUCAACAUUCUCGUUACUUUUCUCACCAUGCAAAUUCCAACAUGUAUAACUUCGAUCAAUUCCAUGCCUCAUUAGAUGCGAUGUCAACUGAACUGCGUCAACCCGUUUCCCAUAACAACAACCCAAGCAAGGACAUAUCAUUCUACUGGGGUCUUCGGCGUGCGCAACGGCAAACUUAACGAAUUCUGAUACCCCAUUCUCGUACUCUCUCGACAAUCGAUUGGAAGACAUCCAUGUAUUAUCCAUUACUAAUUAGAAUAAACAAAAAACAAUUUCAGAAGAGAAACCAAAAAUGGGAUGAGACAAAACAAUUUCGCUUUAUUGAGUUAGUCUCUGUGCAGGGCAUUCAUGUCUCCAUUUACUCUAUCAAAUAACAUCCAUACCUAAACUUCUUAAGUUACUAGCUACGCUAUGUACGCUAGAAUAAAUACACUCAUAAGCUGCAUAGUGUACCUUUGAUUGGUAGAAGGUGUUUUAGAUAUUGCUGCCUGAAUAGUCAAAAAUUUGAAACUUUUUUAGGGUUUUACAAAAUGUUGUUAAACUACAAUCUAAGCCGCGAAAUCAAAGGUUUCUAAUGUCUCUAUAAUGCAACCAUAACCGAACCCUAACAACAGUCUUUGAAUGUGAUUCAUAGCGAUAUCAAAUUCAGCAAUUUAAAAACCAACCGUCAAUUGCCUAAUAAACCCAAACUAUUUAAAUGACUAUGAAUAUUGAAACUUUACAGGUCGAAACAAACGUAGCAUAGACAACAAUAACAUAAAACUGAAAUGGGGCAAAGCUAAAACAAAGCAAUAGUGCAAGUAAUAAUGUAUGCAUCGUGUACCUUUGAUUGGUAGAAGGAGGAAACGUCGUAGAUCUAACAGAGGUGGAAGGAGAACGCCUUAGAAGUAGCGAAAAUCGUAGCAGUGAGAACCCUAACGUGAAAAAGAACGAAAAUAACAGAGAGUGAAAUAACAAAACGCGCAGUAUGUUAUAAUUUUAAUGUUUACUAAAGGGGACCUUAGAGGGCGCUUGUGGAAAAAAAGCGCCCUCUAAAGGGGGCCUAAGAGGGCGCUUAUGAAAGCGCUCUCUAAGGCUUUCCAGAAGCGCUUUAUAAACUGGAAAUGCACAUGGACUUAUAACAGCGCUUUAUUAAAAGCGCCCUCUAAGGGUAACCUUAGAGGGCGCUUUCUAAAAAGCGCCAUGUAUUGUUGUCCCUCUAUCUCCUCCUUAUUUUUUCGCUUCACCUUAGAGGGCGCUUUAUUACAAAAGCGCCCUCUAAAGUGCGCUGUCUAUUCCAGUUGUUCGCUCCUUAUUUUUUCGCUUCACUUUAGAGUGCGCUUUUGUAAUAAAGCGCCCUCUAAGGUGCGUUGUCUAUUCCAGUUUUUGGCGUAGUGAGUACAAGAAGCAGCGUAGGAACAAAGGAUCCCAAUUCUGAGCCCGUCAUACACAGUAGUUUAUAGUAUUUGUGCUCUAGAUUUAUUUUCGAUUGUAUCUAAUUUUUACUUAUUUCGAAUUCAUUGUGUUAUAUGAAUUCAUUACUUUAUAUAUGUUAUUUUAUGUAUAUCAGUUGUAUGGUCAAAUUCAUCAUAGUAUACCUUUACUAUAUCGUCAAUUUCAUUUGAGCAUCAAUAAAACAAACUUAAAAUUUACUGUUUAGUCUGAUUACGGAGAUACAUCUUCAAAUUUUGUCUGAUGUGAAUACGAAGAUGCAUCUCCGGAACAAUCUAUGAUAAAAAGAGGUGUCUCAGAGAGAGAUUUAUAAGAUGUAAAUUGAAUUAUUCCAGAUAUGCAUAUCCGGAUUAAAUUUUCUAAAUAUGUUAGGUGUGACUCUGUUUUAACGUUUUAGCUAAAGACAAUGAUACGUCCGAAUAUAUAUAUAUAUAUAUAUNNNNNNNNNNNNNNNNNNNNNNNNNNNNNNNNNNNNNNNNNNNNNNNNNNNNNNNNNNNNNNNNNNNNNNNNNNNNNNNNNNNNNNNNNNNNNNNNNNNNNNNNNNNNNNNNNNNNNNNNNNNNNNNNNNNNNNNNNNNNNNNNNNNNNNNNNNNNNNNNNNNNNNNNNNNNNNNNNNNNNNNNNNNNNNNNNNNNNNNNNNNNNNNNNNNNNNNNNNNNNNNNNNNNNNNNNNNNNNNNNNNNNNNNNNNNNNNNNNNNNNNNNNNNNNNNNNNNNNNNNNNNNNNNNNNNNNNNNNNNNNNNNNNNNNNNNNNNNNNNNNNNNNNNNNNNNNNNNNNNNNNNNNNNNNNNNNNNNNNNNNNNNNNNNNNNNNNNNNNNNNNNNNNNNNNNNNNNNNNNNNNNNNNNNNNNNNNNNNNNNNNNNNNNNNNNNNNNNNNNNNNNNNNNNNNNNNNNNNNNNNNNNNNNNNNNNNNNNNNNNNNNNNNNNNNNNNNNNNNNNNNNNNNNNNNNNNNNNNNNNNNNNNNNNNNNNNNNNNNNNNNNNNNNNNNNNNNNNNNNNNNNNNNNNNNNNNNNNNNNNNNNNNNNNNNNNNNNNNNNNNNNNNNNNNNNNNNNNNNNNNNNNNNNNNNNNNNNNNNCACCUUAGACGCUUUUAUUACAACAAAACGGCCCUCUAAAGUGCGCUGUCUAUUCAGUUGUCGCUCCUUAUUUUUUCGCUUGUUCACUUUAGAGUGCGCUUUUGUAAAUAAAGCGGCCCUCUAAGUGCGUUGUCUAUUCCAGUUUUUGGCGUAGUGAGUACAAGAAGCAGCUCUAGGAACAAAAGGAUCCCAAUCUGAGCCCGUCAUACACAGUAGUUUAUAGUAUUUGUGCUCUAGAUUUAUUUUCGAUUGUAUCUAAUUUACUUAUUUCGAAUUCAUUUGUGUUAUAUGAUUCAUUACUUUAUAUAUGUUAUUUUAUGUAUAUCAGUUGUAUGGUCAAAUUCAUCAUAGUAUACCUUUACUAUAUCGUCAAUUUCAUUUGACAUCAAUAAAACAAACUUAAAAUUACUGUUUGUCUGAUUACGGCAAGACAUCUUCAAAUUUUGUCUGAUGUGAUCGAAGAUGCAUCUCCGGAACAAUCUAUGAUAAAAAGAGGUGGUCUCAGAGAAGAGUAUAUAAGAUGUAAAUUGAAUUAUUCCAGAUAUGCUAUCCGGAUUAAAAUUUCUAAAUAUGUUAGGUGUGACUCUGUUUUAACUUUUUAGCUAAAGACAAUGAUACGUCCGAUAAUAUAUAAUAUAUAUAUAUAUAGAUAUAUAUAUAUAUAUAUAUAUAUUAUAUAUAUAUAUAUAUAUAUAUAUAUAUUAUAUAUAUAUAUAUAUAUAUAUAUUAUGAAAUCUAAAGGAUAAUUUUUUAAUUGUCAUUUAUUCGUUGUUUCUCAACUAGAUUUCUUAAUUUAAAGUAUUAGUGUUAAUACCAUUUGACAUAUUUGUCUCACAUUAUUCUUAUAAAUAUAAAAGUACCAAGCCAAAACUUUAAGUAUUAAAAUAUCAACGAAUACUAGUAGGCACAUAAAAAUAUUAAGGAAAAUGUUAAUUAGAAAGACCAAUUAGAAAAAGGCAGAAAAGAACACAGUUUGAAACUUAAAAUUUAGUUAAACCCAUUUGGAAUAAUUUGGUAUGGAUAUAUAUUUUAUAUAAUAACAUUAAAUAAUAAAAAUAUUGUAUCUACAAUUUGAAAUAUUUGUUGCAUAUCCAAAUAAUGUUAUGAUGUGCAUGCAUCUGCACUAGCUUAGCCGUUGACAAUUCUAUAUUCUUCAAAAACAUGAUGAUGAGAGGGCCAUGCUUAUCAUAUUUUGAUUUUGCACCCACCAAUUAAUUACUAACGUCGUCUUCAUUAAGAAAUUAAUUAUUACUAUUAAUUUAUAGCCACAUUAUGUGUUCUUGGCAAACAAGGUUUGGUCUGAAUCUAUAUUCAUUGUCUUUAGAUAGACGAAGAUAAUUUCAUUCUUAACAAAAUCAUUCAGUCCUUUUCUGUCAAAAAAGACAAAAUUUUAACUCUCUUCUCUCUCUCUCUCUCCUUCUCUCUUCUCUCUCUCUCUCUCUCUCUCUCUUCUCUCUCUCUCUCUCCUCUCUCUCUCUCUCUCUCUCUCUCUCUCUUUCUCUUCUCUCUCUCUCUCUCUCUCCUCUCUCUCUCUCUCUCUCUCUCUCUCUCUCUCUCUCUCUCUUCUCUCUCUCUCUCUCUAUAUAUAUAUAUAUAUAUAUUAUAGUAUAUAUAUAUAUAUAUAUAUAUAUAUAUUCUCUUGGUAUUACUGGUAGCGUAUGCAUUUUAUUACUAGAAAUUAGAAAUUAGAAACUACAAACAUUUGAACAUUGCACAUGAGGUGUAGCAAGUCUAAUUUAUGAUCAAAUAGUGGAUUCAAAUAUUUUAAAAAUAAUGUGUCUGUUGGUGGUGUUUCAUUUACAGAUUUACAGGCUAAUUUGCAAUUUAUUAUAAUUUUUUCUAAUAGAACAAUUUCUUUUUUUUUUAAAAAAAAUUGAGCUCAUGACUUAUGGGCGAAGGUUACUGGCUUUGUCGUUGGUACACUAUUGAAAUAUAAUGAAAAAAAUAAAAAGGUUUAUGCCAUAUAAUAUGCAACACACAAAUAGGGUGUAUUGAAAAAUUCAAAUCUAAACUAAAUAAGUAAGACAUGUCUAGUUUAAAAAUCGAACUGAAUAAACAAAAAUCGAACUAGUUUGAUUCAGUUCUUGUUUUUUAUUUUUAAAUAUUGCAACAUUGUUAGUCGAGAUAAAUCAAAUCGAUUUGUAUAAUCAUCUUAUAUUUACAUUCUAUGAAUAGUUUGUGUAACAUAACAUUAAAUCGAUGUGUUUAAUUCGAAGAUGCUUGAAAAUAGAGAGAAUGCAAUUUUUUUUUACAAAUUGAUUUUUUAUUAUAAAAAUACAUUCUAUUUUACGCUAUAAUUUUUUUAAUAUAUCCUUUUUUCAAACAAACUUUUUCAUUCUCAAUGUGAAAAAAAUGUGUUUUAAAUUGAUCAAUUGAGCCGAAUCUAAUUGGUUAGUUUAAUUUUGUUACAUUUUUUAAAAACACUUAUAUUGUGAAAUCGAUAGAAUAAUUAAAACCUUUUUAAAAGAAAUUAUUCAGAGUUUAAUCGCACCAAGAAAUUUGAUGCGUGGAACAAAAAACAUUGAUUACCAAACAAAUGGCUUUCAACAAUAACAACUUUUGAUGAAAUAAGAAAGUGAAUUAACUUGGCAGAAGAAGAUAAAAGAAUGCUAGAAACAAAAAGAAUGUUGUUUACCAAGUUCGAUCAAAUGAUCUACGUCUGAGGGAGAGAUCAACUAUCCAAUUCACUAUACUCUAAAAGUUGUUACAAGAUAUUACAUAUGAGUUGUAAGAAAAUAGUCUUCCAAGUUUCCUAGAACAAACCCUAUUUUCUACCCAAGUGUUACCGCUCCAACUAUCAAUAUAGUAAUCACACAAACCCAAGGUAUUUAGAAGCAUUGCAUGAUCCUUCUUGAUAACUCCAAAUGUUUCCAUAAACCCUAAACCCUUAUUUCUAUCUUCAUCUCUAAAGCUCCCAAGAUUGUCACACUUACAAUAACAUAAGAGAUACAUAUUUAUAAUUGCUAAAAUCCAACAUAUUAAUAACAAAGCCCAAAACACAACCCAUUAACAAACGGAUCCAUGAACAAGCUCGAAAAUAUGUCAUUUUUCCUUAUCUUUUCUCACUUGAGGUUUUAAGGCAUAUUACAACAAUCUACCUUGACUUGAAAUCGAUGAUGAUGUCAAUUUAACCACCAACCACCUUGCUGCUCUUUCCAAAGCUUGAAUCACUUUUCAAUAAUCUUGAUCAAGUUCAAGCUACCCUUGAACCUUGAUCUCACCACUUAAAUCCACUUGCUUCCAAUCACCUUUUUCUGCUUAGGUAAUCUAACAAGCCUACAAUUAUGGUUUUUAACCAUCAUUUACUCACCUGCUUUCAAAUGUCUCCUUAAAGGUCUCUGUUUCUGAAUUUUGCAACCCUUCAGUCACAUUCAAAGCAUUACACCUAAGACUAGCAUAACCAUCCAUUUGAGAUGUUGCAAUCUUCCUCCUUACCUUAUCAUGAGUCAAAUUAUAAUCAGGGACAUCUGUAACUGUUCCCUCACUACUACUAGUAUCCAUAGUAUGAAACUUCACCUCAAACUGAGUUUUCUCCGCCAUAGUUUCUAAAACCUUUAUCCCUUGGUUUUACUCUUCUUCCUAUGACACGACUCUCUUCCAACCAAGUAAGUCACUUUGGCACCAGCCUUACCACAUAAGCUAAAUGACAACUAAGCGGUCUCAUGCGUUUUUAUCCUCCGUCUUCUGCAAAACUCAUUAAAUAUUUUUGAAACAACUUCAAAUUAAUCAUCAUGCAUUGACCUCAAAUCCCAUAACAUAUUUUUGUCAGGAAAGUUUUCGCUAGCUAAUAAUGAAUUAAUAAUAACAUUUGAACCUUAUAAAAUAUAUAGACCACAUAUUUUAGACCCUUUAUUUAUGAUCACUUCAUCAUACAAAAUCUUCAAUACCCCACGUUUAAUUCUUGUGCAAUGUCCUAGAUCAUCAAACAUGCUUAUGGAAACAAAAAAUUGCCCGACUUUAGGAACAUACCUCACGUUGUUAAAAGAAGCUCAUGAUUAUCGAACAUUUAAGUAUGACCGUACCAAUAUGAUGAAUCUUGAAAGCCUUAUUGUCACCAAGGAGAACUUCUCCACCUUGCUCAAACUUUAAAGUCUCAAAGUAUUAUUUUCUUGGACACAUAUGAUAAGAGCAACCUGAGUCUAUAACCUAACUAUCUUCAGUCUCCAAACUUGACACCACUAGUGCACAAACACUCUCAUAACCAUCCUCAUCUAAGUCAACCGCAACUUGAACAACAUCAUCAUUGUCCUUUAUCUCAAGACAAUACCUCUUGAAGUGACCACCUUUAUGACAAUUAUAACAUUUUACUUUGACUUGUCAAACUCUUUGAUAAGGAUAUCCCUCAACGCUUACAUCCUCCUAUUGAGACACCCAAGCCGAACUAUCAUCAAUCUUCAAAUCUUUCAUCUUUGAAAAUUCUUUAGAUUUCAUCAUCGUCUAGACUUCAUCCAAAGUAAUAGUACCUUUCUUACCAUAAAUAAGGGAAUCCUUAAAGUGUUCAAAGGAUAUGGGUAAUGAGAUCAACAAGAGUAGAGCCUUAACCUCAUCUUUAAUAUUCAUGUAAAUAUUCUCAAGAUCAUCAAUAAUCUUGUGAAAAUCUCUCAAUUAAUCCAAUAUGAAUUUGUUCUCCACCAUUCGGAAUGAAUAGAGUUGUUGUUUCACAUAUAACCUGUGAGCCAAAGACUUGGUCAUAUAUAAUGAUUCAAUUUUUGUCCACAUCACAACCACAAUUUUCUCCUUGGAAACUUCUCUUAAAAAUGUAUCCUCGAGGCACAAGAUAAUGACACUCCUGACCUUAUCCACCAUCUCGGUCUUCUCUGCUUUACUUAGGCAUGCAAACAUCGAUUCCUCACCCUUCAAAGCAUCAAUACACUCCUAUUGAAUUAAAAUUGCUUUCAUCUUUACUUUCCACAACCAAAAAUCAUUGUUAGUAGAAAACUCCUCGAUCUCCCAUUUACCCAUGGUGCUCACUUGUAAACAAUACCCCUUUGUCUCACGAUGGGCACCACUUGUAGUGAAAUCGAUAGAAUAAUUAAAACCCUUUUAGAAAAAAAUAUUCAGAGUUCAAUCACACCAAGGAAUUUGAUGUGUGGGACAAAGAACAAUGACAACUAAACAAAUGGCUUUUAACAAUAAUAACCUUUAAUGCAAUAAGAAAGUGAAUUAACUUUCUAUUAGAAGAUAAAAGAAGGCGAGAAACACAAAAACGAUUGUUUACCCAAUUCGAUUAAAUGAUCUACGUUUGGAGGAGAGAACGACUCUCCAAUUCACUAUUCUCUAAAAGUUGUUACAAGAGAUUAUAGACGAGUUACAAGAAAAUAACCUUCCAAGUUUCCGAGAAUAAACCCUACUUUCUACCCAACUGUUACCUCUCCAACUCUUAAUAUAGUAAUCACACAAAUCCAAGGUGUUUAGAAGUAUUGUCGGAUCCUUCUAGAUAACUCCAAAGGUUUCCCUAAACCCUAAAUCCUUAUUUCUCCCUUCAGCUCUAAAGCUCUCAAGAUUGUCACACUUACAAUAACAUAAUAGAUACACAUUUAUAAUUGAUAAAACCCAACAUAUCCAUAACAAAGCCCAAAACAUAACCCAUUAACAAACCGAUAUGCGAACAAGCCUGAAAAUAUGCCAGUACCGAAGUAUGUCAUUUUCCCUUCUCUUUUAUCACUUGAGAUUUCAAGGCAUAUUACAACAACUUAAAACCAAAUCGAUGUUGGUUUGAAAUUUUUUUUGACUUAAAUUUGAUCCAAACUGAACCGUUAGAUCUCUAAAAAUAGGGCCUUAGAUAAGGCUCAAAUGAAUUAUGCAACGAAAAAAGAGUGGGUGGUAUAUGUCGUUGAAAAAUUCAUUUCUUAUUUGGUAGGGUCUAAACUAACUGUACACACAAAUCAUGUUGCUAUCAAAUACCUCUUCAACAAGAAAUAUGUCAAAUCAAAUAUGAUUCAAUGGAUAUUAUGAAGGGAAAUAUGAUAAAUUCAAAUAAAAUUACAAUAUAUUUUUGCAAUGGGUUCUUAUGAAUGGUAAUGAGUUAGUGAUUGAUUGAUUACCUCUUGUAGUGCAUAAACUUUGACCAUCAAAACAAAUUGAUCACGAGGGUAGAAUAAAUGACGUCAUCCCUACUUAGUUACAUGAAGAAAAUUAGCAGUGAGAGAUUCUUACUCCUAUAAUGCUAGCAGUGAACACACAUGUCUUAGAAGAAAAUCCUAAUGCGACUAGGUUUUUUAGAAUACGUGAAUGAGUGAUUAUCACUUAAGUGUAAGAGUUUUAUCCAUAGAACCACAUAUGCAUAUUGCAUUUUAUAGUGUACCAUAUUUCUCUAAUUACCACUAGUGUAUCGUUAAAACACCAUUGAAUCAUAAAUGAAUCUUAUUCAUUUAUUUGAUAUAUCGUUUAUUAGUCCUAAUGUAUGUGACCUUAGUUAUCGUAACAUUCACAAUAAUAUUAAAUCAUUUAUUUAAUAUUAUGAACAUAGAAUGAUGUUUAGAAACACCUCAGCACAAACAAAAUGAUGAUAAUUAUCACAUGUAUAAUUGUCUUUUUUCCCUUAUAUAUAAUAAAAACAAGGCAUAAUUUUUGUCAUCCUUGUAUAUUCCAAUUUGUUGUCAGUUAAUUCAAUCCUAAAAUUUAGUUAAAUUAAUAGUUAAGAUUUAUAACUAACUUUGUGGUUAAUCACUAACUAUAAAGGUUAGUUAGUUUUGAGAUAGCCUAUAAAUAUUGUAUGCACACCAUGUAUGAUUCAUCAAUCAUAUUGAAUAAUUUUUCACUAAUGUUAUCUCAACUUCCAUACCUUAAUUCCUUAAAUAUUUUUAUUCUUAUUGUAAAAAUAAUCACAUGCUCUAACAAAUGGAUAUUAUAGUUUGGUUCUUGAUUAUGCAUACUUCACAGAUUCAGAGCUUACUCAAUCAUUAUCAGUCAAGUAAAUAUGAUUGGUGGUAAUGGUCAUCCAAGCACACUUUUAAUUCCCGAUGGCAAGAACUUGGAGAGAUGACACAAAUAAAUGAAGGUCUUGUUUGGUGAUAAAUAUACAUUUGAGGUGGUUUCCAAUGGAGUUAAUUCCAUGAAAAUGCAACAAAAGCCCAUAAGAGCUAUAAAGAAGAUAAUGAUUUUGUUUACAAAGCCAUGUAUUCAAUCCAAGCAAUAGUAAAUUUGGUAAAUUUUAACAAAAUCUCUCAUGCUAAGAAUUCAAAAGAGGCCUAUGAUAUUUUGAUCAAAUACGAUAAAGAUGGAGUAAGUGUGAAGAAUGUGAAAUUGCAAUCUAUGAUAAAGAAGCAUGAAUUACAUCAAAUGGGAAAGAAUGAAACAUUUGUAGGUUAUACAUCAAAGAUUCAAGGCCAGAUGCAUACUAUGAAGAGCAAUGGUUAAAUGAUGACUAAGAAGAUUGUGAUUGGAAAUGUUGUGAGGACACUCACUCCUUAUUUUGAUCAUAUGAUAGUAUUUAUUCAAGAACCUAGACCCUUAAGAACUUAUCAAGUGGAAGAUCUCAUAUGUUCAUUAAGAGCACAUGAAUUGAUAAUUCUUGAAAUAAAUGAGGUAUAAGAGUCAAUUCAAGCACUCAAAUAUAGAACAUUAAAAAAAUUGUGGUUUUGAAAAAUUUAAUGGAAAAAAGAAUCAAGAAAAGUUCAAGAAAUAUGCAAGAUCAAACUCACAAAAAGAUUAAUCUUGACAAUAAAUAUGAAUCCUUCAAGAAAGGAGGGACAUCAAAUUCAAAUCAACAUAAGAGUCAAGGCAAGGAUAAUAAUCACAUUCAAUGAUAUAACUGUGAAACUUUGGGUCAUUAUGCCUCAUAUUAUUGGUACAAUAAUGGAAAGGAAAAUGCUUAAGAUAAUGAUGAUGAAGCUAAGAUGGUAAAAGAUGACUAAGAUGAUGGAACUGCAAUUUUCAUGGUUGUAGUCAACAUAUUAUUUAAAAACAUAUGACUUAUUACAAGAACUUAUUGAUAAGGUUUGAUAGCACAAGAAAAAGUAAGGCGAGGCUAGGAGAUAGUAGAACCUUACAAGCUAAAGGUAUUGGGAACGAUGGCCAAGAAUAAUAAUGAAAAUCAAGAUUCAACUAGGAUGUUCUAUUUGUACCAUGUAUGAAGUUUAAUUUACAAAGUGUUGGAACCCUCUUAGAGAAGGGGUUCUUAGUAAUCUUGAAGAAUAAUACUUUUGAACUAUAUGAUCUUGCCAAUAUGCUUGUCUUGAGGUUACCAUAUGCAAAGAACACGACCUUUAAGAGAAUGAUUAACACCACAUAAGUAGAGAGCUUUCAAGUAGUAGUGAAGUAUAAAAAGAGUUGGUUAUGGUAUAUAUGGUUUUGUCACCUUAAUUUUAGAUCCUUAAAUAAAUUAGUUAGUUAAAGUAUGAUUCAAGGUUUUUAUCUAGAUUUUAAAUACUUUAAAUACUUGAUAAUAUGUGUGAUAGUUGAUUGGUUGAUAAGCAAACUAGAAACUCAUUCAAAUCCAACGUACUAGUGAGGUCAUCAAAUGUGCUAGAAGUUACUUACUCAUAUGUGUGAGGACAUUUUAAGGAGAAACCUCUAUGCAGAAACAAAUGAAUCAUCUCAUUUUUAGAUGAGAAUGGAAGAAAGACGUGGAUCCCUCCAAUUCACACAAAAGAUGAAGUGUUUGACAUAUUCAAUAAGUUCAAGGCUUUAGUUGAAAAUCAAUCUAAUAGAAGAACUGAAUUUUUGUGAAUUGAUGGUGUUGAAUACAUAUCAUAGGCUUUUGAGCCAUUUUGUGUUGAUCAAGACAUAUAACACGAAGUUACAACUCCCUAUACACCUCAGCAUAAUGGCUUAGCCGAAAGAAUAAAUAAAGUUAUCUUAGAUAUGGCCAGGUGCAUGGUAUAGUAGAGAGGUAUGACUAAAUAAUUUUAGAGAUAAGCAUUCAACAAUGCAGUAUAUCUGCUUAAUAGAUGUCCAAGUUGAAUAAUAAAUAACAUUCUAUCUUAGGAGGUUUGGAGGGGUAAGAAACCUAGUGUGCCUCAUUUUAAAGUAUGUGGGGCACUAUGUGACAAACAUAUCCCUGAUGCUAAUAAAAGAAAGCUAGAUGAAAAAAGUGCAUCAAUAAUUCUAGUUGGAUAUCAUGCAACAUAUAUCUAUAAAAUUUAUGAUUCUUCCACUCAAAAUAUGGUCAUCAAUAGAGAUGUAGUGAUAAUUACGGGAAGAUCGUGGGAUUGACAAUCAAGUAACAAUUAUAGAAAGCCUUAUAUGAGCUCAUGAUCAUCGAUAAUGGUGAUAUUGAUGAAUCAUUAAGUCAAUACCUUAAAGAACCAAAUGUUUAGAUUCGUGAGAGAACACUGAGAACAAGAAACAUUCCAAUGACGUUACAAGACUACCAACUAGUAGUGACAAUGAAGUGACAAAGUAAGGUGACUUAAUGCAUAUGGCACUGUUAGAAGAUGAUGAGCCUAUCAGUCAUCAUGAAGCCUUAAUGAAUGAAUCAUAGAAAAUAGUUAUGAAAGAAGAAUUAGCUAUAGUUGAAAUAAAUGAUACAUGUGAGUUAAUUAAGUUACCAUCUGAUAAUAAGGAUAUUGAAGUAAAGUAGGUGUUAAAGUUAAAGCAUAACCCAGAUGGAUCAAUUGCAAAGCACAAGGCCAUUUUAGUUGCUAGAAGUUUUCUUCAAAGACCCUAUUUGGGAUAUUCAUAGGUUUAUGUGAACCUUUGUGCUUGUAGGUACAACUAUCUAUAAUCAUCAUAUGUUCACGAUGGUUUUGGUGAUGACAACACUAUAAUUCAAAAGGCAUAACAUGAAGUCUUAAUCUCUCUUGAAGAAGCAGUUAUCAAUAUGUUCUAUCAAGACGGUUUUGUAAGAUCAAGAUUCAAUGUAAAAACUUAAUAAGGAUAACACUUAAGGUCAAACAUCAUUCGAUGAAGUUCUGGAUGAUCUCAUGUUCAGUAAACCAUGAUGAUGUCGUAUAUCAAAGAAGCUUUAUCAAGCCUCACCAGUCAAAAGAAUCAAGUCCCAAAUGAAGUGUUGAAUAAAUUAUAAAUAAAGCAAGGGAUCUUUAAGCUUCAAAUAUUAUGAAAGAGAGAUAGUGUGAAAAUCGUCUGAUAUGUUUGAGUGACCAGGAUGUUGUAAAGAUAUAAGAGUAGUUAUUAAAUUACUAAGAUAACUCUCACACUCUCCUAAUACUAUUUUUAAACCUUUCUUAAUUUUCUAAAACACCUUAAAAACUAUGGAAGAACCAUCGAGGUAGAUGUGGAAUUGACCAAGAGUGUUCAUAAUCAUUUUGGAAGCAUUGUACACUGCCUAAUUAAUUAGGACUUAAUAAUAUUAAUUAGAGCAAGGAAAAAUGCUUCUUAAUCGAUUAGAAAUACUCCUAAUCGAUUAAGACACAUAACCGUUGUAGGGAUUCCAUUUUGGUAUUAGGGUUUUCUUCAUUUGAAGCUUCUAAUCGAUUAACACUAGUACUUAAUCGAUUAGAUCAGUAAAGGCCUAUGAAUUUGUUUCUUUUUUAUCCAAACUUUUCUCCUAUAAAUUGAAGGCUUAUCCUCAUUUUAAAAUACUCCAAAAAAUAUAUUUUAAUCAUACUUUCUCACUUUCUACUCUCUCCCUCUCUAUUUCAUUUCUUCCAUUUUCUUCUGAAAGUUUCCUUAGUGCUUUGAGAGUGAAAAAUAUUUUUUAAGUUUAUGUUCUUCCGGUACUAUGAGAAUAUUGUAAGUUACUCAAGUGGGAUAUGUAUCUUGUGUAAUAUCCUCGAAAGAAGUUGUUUUUUGGUUCUUGAGCUAAGCCAUGCAAAAGCUUUGUUUAGUUCUUGAGAUUAACCAGGUAAAAUCUUUGUUCUGUUCAUGAGCUCAGCCUGUUAAAAGCUCCUAUUUUGUUAUUGGAUUUAGCCAUCUAAAAUUAUGUUUGGUUCAUGAGCUCAGCCUAGUGUAAAAGCUCAGUCUGGAUUUGAGAUUAUCCCGAUAUAAAAUCUCUUAUUUCGUUCGAAUAUUAGCUAGUGUAAAAUCUCAUAUUUGGUUGUAAGAACAUUUUUGGGGUUAAUCUUUGAAAAACUCACAUCUCAUAUGGAAACUCUCAAGAAAAAAAUUCUUAGGGAUAAGAGUAGACCAAAUUGUAAUAAAUCGUUGGUGUAUUUAUCUUUUCUCUUAUCUCUCUAUAUUUCAAAUUCUUUAUUUAUUUAUGUUGUAUUCCCAUAUCUUGAUCUCUCUAAUUUGAUUCUUUUAAUUAUUCUGCUACCUAUUAUCUAUUUGAUUUACACAAAUAAUUUAAACAUAUUUAUAAAUCAAGACUUUAAUAAUUGGACGUAUUUUUUAAAACCACACGAUUCAUCCAUUCUCUUGUGUUUGGAUUCAAUUGUCAAACAACUUAUAUGCUCUAGAUGUUAGAGCUAAAAUAAUUAGGCUUAUGGUUCAUGUUCCACCUAGAUGUUAAUUCAAUAUUUUUAAAAGGUCCUAUUGAAGAACAUACACUUGUCUCUUAACCACCAAAAUUUGUUAUCAAAGGAAAGGAAUACAUAGUAUAUAGAUUGAGUAAAUCACUUUAUGGCUCAAAGCAUACACUUAGAUAAUGGAACAAAAGGAUAUAUGAUUUCCUAGUACACAUGGGCUUCAAAAAAUGUAAAACUAAGUAUGGUGUGUAUCUGCAGGAAACAACAUCAAACAUAAUAUUGAUAUGCUUGUACGUUGAUGAUCUACUAGUAUGUGGAAGCAAGAAGUCCGAGAUCAGGAAAUUAAAAGAGCUCAUGAUGUAUGGAUUUGAGAUGAUUGACUUAGGAAUGUUAUCCUACUUCUUGGAAUGUAAUUUCUCAAAUCCUCAAGAGGAUUUAAAGUUGCAUUAGAGAAAGUAUGUUGGUAAAAUUCUCAAAAGGUUUAAGAUGAAAGAAUGAUUCCAUGCAACAAGACCUGUUGAAGCCAAUCUCAAGCUAGAUAAAGGAGGCAAAGAAAAGAAUAUGGAUUCCAUAAUAUUCAAAGAGAUUGUAUGUUCACUAAGAUAUGUUUGUAAUUGUAGGCCAAACAUUUGCUUUGUUGUUGUCUUGGUGAGUAGAUUUAUGGAUAAUCCAAAGAGAUCUCACAUUAAGGCAAUAAGAAGAAUCUUGAAAUAAUUGAGAGGUACAAUGGAUUGUGAACCUUUUAUUUCCAACUUCUGCAAAUGAUUUAGAUACAUAGAUCAUAUACUAUAUAAAUACAAACUUUAUGACAAAGUUGAUAUGAGAAGCAACAUUGGCAACUACUUUAGUUUCUUUUAUCCACCAAUUUCUUGUUUUUCAAGGAAAUAACUUGUUGUAGUACUUUUAUCAUGUGAAUUAGAACAUAUAACGGUAUCAUAUGCUACAUGUCAAGAUAUAUUGAUAGAACCAAUUUUGAAGGAGCUGUAGGUUGAGGUUAAGAAGUCAAUCAAGUGGUAAAUUGAUAACAAUCCAACUAUAAAUCUAGUAAAGAACUCAAUUUUUUAUGGCAUGAGCAAACACAUUGAUGUGAGGUUCUAUUUCAUGAAGGAGCAUAUCAAUCAAUGUAGGCUAGAGAUUUUACAUUGGCCUACUACUACACAUAUUGUAGAUGUGGUAAUCAAAUGGAUGAAUACUGUCAUGUUUUUGGUUUUGAGGAACACAUAAUGUGUAUUUACAAUCAAAUGAAUGGUAUAAGAUAGAAUUCAAGGAGCAUUUUGUUAGUUAAUUCAAUCCUAGAAUUGAAUUACGAUGGUAGUUAGGAGUUAUAACUUACUUUGUCGUUAGUUAGUAACUAUCAAAGUUAGUUAGUUUUGAUAUAGCCUAUAAAUAAUAUAUGCACACCAUGUAUGAUUCUUCAAUCAUUAUUGAAUUCAUUUUUACUAUUGUUCUCAACUUUCAUCUCUUUAAUCCUUCAUUUUUUAUUUUCUUGUUGUGCAAGUAAACACUUUCCCUAACACAAUAAUAUUUUUUUUUUAUAUCUGAGUAUACUUAAUAAAAAUAAAUAAUUUCAAUAUCUUAUAUUAUCUAGAACUUGAAUAAAAAUUGUUGUUGAGACUAAUUUCUACCUCUAUGACAUUUGCAAAAAUAAAAAGUAUCAUAGAAUUAUUUUCUUGACCAUAGAGUUAGUUCUAAUCUUUUUAUUUUUGGAUAUAUUUUUUUAAUAAAGAUGAGAUGAUGAAGUAAGAAAAAACAAAAAUAUUUUUUUUGAAGUAAAUAAAAAAAAGAAGGAAAAAAGAAGAAAAAAACAAUUAAAAGCUCUUGCAAAAUAAGAAGAAUAAAAUAGGGAAAGAAAAAAAAAAGAAACGUGGAUAAAUGUUCAUUUAUUUUGUCUAAAUUACAAAAAGUUACAAGUCAUUAGAGCGACGCUUCUAUGCAUGUAUUUUCUUAAUAAUAUGACUCUAUUACAACCCAAUCAAAGUGCAUUUUAGAUUUUUUUGUUUUGUCAUAAAAGAUGUAGUAGAGAUUAUGAUCCAGAAUCAAAUUCAUGAUAUGAUUCUCUGAUAAAAUUCGAGAUAAAGGAAAGAUGGAUAACUGAUCUUAAUAUGAGAGUUAUUUUUUAAAAAUGUUUAAUCAACUUUGUCUUUCUUUAUAAUUAUCUAUUAGAUCUAUAAUUUGCAUAUAUAUUUUUAUUUGUCAAAUUUUUAUUUAAAUUUCUUUUAUUUUUAAAUAUUUUUAAAUCGCAUGAAGAUAGACAAUGAUGUAAGCAUCAGUGAGUUUGAUGACAUGUUAAAUAAAAACUUUUUAGCCCAGAAGUAUUAGGAAAUGUUAAUGAAUUUAGGUUGGUUUUAAACUUUUUUUUAAUAUGUUUUAUUUUAUUUUGUAUUUUAGGAACAAAACUAGAUUUUAAUGCAUUUUCAAUGGUUAAUAAUGACCAAUAAAAUACUAGGGAUAAACUUUUGGAUAAAUAAGGCCAAGUUGAUUCGAGAAAAACUGGAAAAAAUAAGAAAAGAAAGCAACAAUCAACACGACCAUAUAAUGUUGAUACAACAUUAAUGCUAAGACAAGAAAAGAAAAUAUGAAGAAUUCCAAAAGUCGAAACAAAACAAUUAUGCCAUUGUGUAACACAACCAACUAGUGGGAGACACCAAGACCGUAUUAUUAUUCAUCCGCUAAUGAAAUGAUUGUAUCUAUUGUUGAUUAACAUAGUCACACAAAUUUUGUAUGACAACUUAUGAUUAUUUUUCAAGAGUAUCCUCAUACAAAUAUACUUUUAAGUGUUCUUACUUUAGUUCUUGUUAGUUUUGGUUAAAUAAUAUAUUCACAUUUCUUUUAGUUAUUCCUACAUUAUGCACAUGUUAAUAUACUUUAGUUUAUCUUUAAUUAUGUUUGAGUAAGUUUUUUUUCCUUAAAAUUAAGGAGAUUCUAAUGGUAUAUCUCCUAUAGAACUCAUUUUAUUUCUUAUUGUUAUGAGUAAGGAGUCUUUAAUUCAUUAAUAGUAUAUACUAUUGUGAAUAUAUAAUUAUAUAAUCUUAGAUAAUUGAGUGAAAUAUCAAAAUACGAAAUUUGAUCAACUCACAUAUAAGAUCCGAUAAGAUAGUUAAAAUUUAAAAUAAUUUUAAUUAUUUUAAGAUCAGAUAAAACAAAUAUAUAUAAUAGAUUUUGUAUAAAGAGGUUAUUAAUCUAAUAGAUUUUCUUAUUUUGAAAAAAACUUAAGUUAUAAAAAAGAUGUCUGAUCAUGAAACUAUCAAUAAAAUAAAAUAAAAAUAUAGAUAUGUAAUUGUAAGGAGACCAUUAUAUAUCUAUAAUUGGAGUAUAUUAUUAUUAUUAUUAUUAUUAUUAUUAUUAUUAUUAUUAUUAUUAUUAUUAUUAUUAUUAUUAUUAUUAUUAUUAUUAUUAUUAUUAUAGUUUUUUCUAAAACAAAAUCAAUCCAACCCUUUGAGUUAAUCAAGUCAAUAUUCAACCAUGGUUUUCACAAGAACGCAUUUAUUAUAUUAUGCAUAUAAUCGUGUACGUGUAAUUGUGUUAUAAUUUGAUGGCAAUAAAAUUGUGUAGUUAUAGUUGUGUCAUAAUGUAAGUGUGUAUUGGAAAUAUAGACUAAAAUUAUGUUAAAUGUGUUUGGAUCUUAUUUUUAAAAGAUAACUACAAUCAUAUAUAAAAUCACGUCAUAAAAAUUUAAAUAAUAUAAGAUUUCAAACAAAUUCUAAUAAUGAAAAUACAGUUUUAAUAGCAAACUCACAAAAUACUCAUAGGUAUAUUUUAUUUAGAUAUACAUGUAAAUUUGAAAUGAGUUAUUUAAUUAUAAAAUAAAUAAUGAUAAUAUAAAUUCAAUUUUAACAUUUGAAAAUAAAAAUUAUGUGUCUCAAUGUUAAUUAAAAUAAAAUCAGUAUCUUGAUAAUAGUGGUCAGUGAGAAAAAUAAAAAUUUUGACAUUUAAAAAUUACAAUUUUGUGUCUCAAAUAAACACAAUUGUUAAUUAAAAUAAAAUAAGUAUUUUAUUGAUAGUGACUCGUGAAAAAAAGAAAAACUUUGACAUUUGAAAAUAAGAAUUAUCACUUGAAAAAAAAAUUGAGACAUUAGUUAUUUAUUAAUUUUUAAAAAAUUUUAUUAGUCUAAAUUAAUAUAAAGGAAAGAGCAAUUAAAGUAGUUUGGUGGUAUUUAAUUUUAAUAGAAAGAUAGUUGAUACUCAGGAAAAAAAGAAAAAAAAAUAAAGUGUUAAAAAAUUGAAAAUGAAAGUGAGAAAAUAUGAAAAAAAUAUAAAAAAGAUUUGAAAUUUGAAAAAAAAAUGUGAAUAAAAUAAAAUGACAUAGUAAAAAUGCAAAGGAAGAAUGAAGAGAAAAUAUGAAUUAAAGGAGAAAAAAAAUAAUAAUAUGAAAUUGAACACAAUUUAAAUUUUGAAAUUUGAAUAUCUUAAUAAAAAUGGUAAAAUAAUUUAAAGGGAAUGAGAGAGAAUAAAUAACACAUGUAAUAAGAUGGUUGAAUAACUCGGGUGAUUAAAUUAGACAUUAUAAAAUUAUUAAAAUAUUCUUUUUAAAGUGUAAUUAUUUUUAAAAAAGAGACAAUUAAGGUAAUUUGUUAUCCUAUUGAUUUACUACGAUAUCAAUUAUUUGCGUUAGGAACACUCAAUAUUUUCCAGUCUUUCUAACACUACCUUUUUUAUUGAGUGAAAUAGGUGUAUGUCCCUACAUAGAAUAGAACACUAAACUAGAAAUGGUGACAAGUGGAUUUAAGCUUGGAGUCAAUUAAACUUUCAUUCACUAAACGUAAGUGUAUCAAGAAAAUUCUACCUUUCCUGGAAAAAGAUAUUAAAGAAAAUUCAACACUAAUGUUGCCACUAUAAAAUGGUUGAAACACAUCAUCAUAUGUGGUUUAAUUGUCCAUAAUGCAUGAAUGUAAUCAGUUACGAAAUAUGAGGUAGAAGAUGCGAAUUCAAAUUCCAAUGCUAUGUUACAUUUAAUGAUAAACUUGUUGUAAGAGUUUAUUUGACCACGUCCCUUUUUUGUCGUUAAAUAGUUGUUUUUUUUGUCCUUAUAAGAUUUUACUAUAGUACUAGUAUCUACUAGCGCUGCUUUUUUUUUUAUUGCACAUACGCCUUAUAAUAUAAACGCUAAUUUUUUGUUUGAUUUUAAUUUUAAUUUAUAUUAUUUGUGUAAUAAACCUUAUAAUAUAUGCUCUUAUAUUUAUCUAUUCUCUUUUUUAGUGUGCACAUAUAAGAAAUGAUAAAAUAUUAUAUUUUUAAAACAAUUUUUGUCAUGUUAAAUUAGUAGUCUAUCUGUUCUAGAAUAAAUUAUUCACUUAUCCCUUUUUAAUACAUAUUAAAAAAAGUAUGAUAAUAAAAGAGAGAAUGAAAUUUUUACAAAGUUACGUAUUUUUAAAUAUUAAAAGUGAUGAAAAUGAUAAUAAUUAAAAAAUAGAAUUGAAAAAAUCUCUCUCUCUCUCUCUCUAUAUAUAUUAUAUAUAUAUAUAUAUAUAUAUAUAAUAUAUAUAUAUAUAUAUAUAUAUUAUAUAAAUAUAGAUAUAGAAGUUAAUUUGUUUCUUUUUUAAACUAUCCAAAUAUAUUUUAAAAGCACAAUUAAAAAAAAAAUUAAUACAUGUGUUCAUAUUUUUUUUUAAACUUUCAAUUAUUCAUAUAUGACAAUACAUGGUUACUUAUUAUAAAUGCAAAACAAAUGUAAUUAAUAGAAGCAUUAACAAUAUCAAUUUUUUUCAUAAUUACAAUUUUUAAAUUUUAUUUGAUUGUGUUUAUUAAAAAAAUAGAAAAAAGAUAUUUUGAAAAAAAAAUAUGGCCAGUCCAAUAUAUUAUAUAUAUAGGUAUAUAUAUAUAUAUAUAUAUUUAUAUUAUAUAUAUAUAAUAGAGAGAGAGAGAGAGAGGAGAGAGAGAGAGAGAGAGAGAGAGAGAGAGAGAGAGAGAGAGAGAGAGAGAGAGAGAGAGAGAGAGAGAGAGAGAAGAGAGAGAGAGAGAAGAGAGAGAGAAGAGAGAGAGAGAGAGAGAGAGAGAGAGAGAGAGAGGAGAGAGAGAGAGAAGAGAGAGAGAGAGAGAGAGAAGAGAGAGAGAGAGAGGAGAGAGAGGGAGGAGAGAGAGAUGAGAGAGAGAGAGAGAUCAACAUCGUUGAUUUUAACCAUCGGCCACUAUUUCAAUAGAUCAAACAUCAUCAUUUUUAAAUCCUUCGACAUCAAGUAGCAUUAAUUUUGAUUCCAAAAUAAAUAAUAUAUAUAUAUAUAUAUAUAUAUAUAUAUAUAUAUAUAAUAUAUAUUAUUAUUAUAUAUAUAUAUAUAUAUAUAUAUAUAUAUAGUAUAUAUAUAUAUAUAUUAUAUAUAUAUAUAUAUAUAUAUAUCGAGAACAUUUCAUUAAUUUGAAAAAUGAAAAUAGAUAUUCAUAACUUUUAGAUUGUCUUACUUUAUAUUUAUGAUUUAGAUUUUAUCUUACUUAAAAAUAAUUUUAUAAUCAAUUGUUAUAAUGAAUUUAUUUCUGUUAUAUUUUAAUAUUAAUCAGAUAAUCUCUCUCGAAAAUUUUAACAAUUCUUUUAUUGACACUUAUACUAUUUAUUUAAUAAUUUUUGUUAAAAAAAAUACUAUUAUAUUAUAAAAUCAUAUAAUUUUUCAAUAAAAAAUAUCAAUAUAAAUUUAUAAAACGGUUUAAAAUAAACUUAUACUUUAAUAAUUAAAAAAAAGGCAUCACAGAAAAAUAAAAAUAUUUAAAGUAAACUUUGAUGAGAAUCUAUUAAACUAAUGUUCUUAUUUAAAUGUCUUUACUUUACUAAAUAUAUAAUGCUAUAAAAAUUAUAUUUUAAAAUUUUUAUAACAAAUAAAUAUAUAUCGUGCAAAUAAAAAUAUUAUUAUAAUAUUUGUAUAAUAAUAUUUCAUAAAACUAUCUUGAUAGCAAUAUUUUAUAUUUAAAAAAUUUAUGUUGUAAAAAUUCUAUUUUGAAGUUUAUUGAAAAUAUAAAAUAUACACAUUAUCACAAUAUUAAUGUCAAUGUAAAAGAAUCUUAACCAUGAUUCAUGAAUGCAACCUUUCACUAAAUGGUCCAAAUGUGGUACAAAAGUGCUAUAUACCAUUGAUGGCUGCAUUGUCGUUCUCCACAAUACUAUAUUUGAGUGAGGUUUCUUUUUCAAUACAUAAUAAUAACCCUCCAAAUUAUUAAUCUCAAGAAAUUAAUUUGUUUCAUGACAAUGGUGACCUCACACAUAUUUUGUCGUUAUUGGUUUCUUUUUGACUUGAACACUACUACAGUGAAAUGGCAUUAAUCGAUGGAUUAAUACAUACAUAUCUUUAAUCAUAAAAUUUAAAGAAUAAAUAAAUAAAUUCCACUUGGUGUAAUCAUCUUUAUCUAAAAGGAACUAUCCAUUAUACCAUUUUUGACAAGUUAAACUUUUUCUACCUUUUGGGAGAGAUUUGAUGAAUCAAAUUAAUCAAAUUAUUCCCGUCACUUGGUCACUUGGAACGUUGAUUAGAAUUCUGAACGUACAGUGGGGGCGGCUAUUAAGAACAAAAAUCAUUAAAAACUUUGUUUUAGAUCUCACACGUUUUUAAUGUUACACAAGAAAACAAGUUUUUGUAUUUUAUGAAAAAUUUAAAGUAAGGUAAGUUGUCUUAGUGACUCAUAAGCAAGCUUACAAAAUGUUGAUAGCGAUGUUUAUAUUUUACUUAAUGCUCACGAAUGUUAAUAUAGUAUUAUCUACCAUGCAGUGAGAUGUAAUUUCAUAUACUAAUAAGAUUUGAGUUGAAUCUUUACAAAUUAUAUCAUAUCAAAUCAAAUGUAUUUUAUUCUCCCAUUUUUGUCAGGUUGAUUGCAAUGAUUUCGAUCUAUUUAUCGAGGAUACAUAACCAAGUUGAAGAGGUAUAUUGGGCUCGUUUUUUUCUUCUUUUCAAUUAGUUCCAAUAAUUUUUAAAAAAUGUAGUGUAAAAGAUGAAGUCACUAUUACGAAAAAUAAGUUUUUAUUUUAGGUUGAAAAGUUAUUUUAAUUUAUUUUGAUGGGGAAUUUAAGGUAACAAAUAGUAUAAUAGAAAGUGUGAUAUUUUUUCUCUAAGAUAAUUGAUUGAGGCGAAAAAUCAUAAAGUGCGUAUAUCUAUUGGACUUUGAGCCAAAGUGAAACUCCUCAUAUUUUCCAUUAGUUUUCCCUUGGUUUGAACUAUUAACAUAGGGGAUAUAGGUUUGGGGACCAUAUUCACAUCGAUUCAAACGGUUAAUCAAUGUGAAUUUCCUUGUAUUUUUAAAAUAUGAUCUUUUUUAAUUAUAUAUUAUUGGUAUAACCUAUAUUUUUUUUGUAAAACAGAACUUAAAUGAUACAUUUUAUACCAUUUAAUGGCUACAAUGGAAAAACAGAAAUUAUACAUAGUGACAUUAAAGCCAAAAUGACACACAUUAUAUACAUAAAUUGGAUAUGCUAAUCAAACAUGACCAAAGUGACCCAUAAACUAUACAUAUUUAUUUUUUACAACAUCACUCAAAUAUAUCAUGGCUCAAUUGAACUCAUAAAAUUCAAGGAAGCAACUUGUCCAACGUGAAUGGAUGUACGCCAUAUAAGUCUUCAUAUAUGAAUAGUCGGUGUCCAUUAAUUAAACACGAAAUAUAAAUUAGAAUAAUAAUAAUUUAUCUAUUUAAAAAAAGAAUAAAAUCAAUGAAAUACAUUUAUAACAAUAUUAACUAUAAAUAAUAAGAAUAAAAAAUAACAAAUAAAUUAUGGAUAAAUAAUAAAAAAAUAUUUAUUUGUUAGUUUUCUUAUAUCCUUUCUUGAUGAUCAUAACAAAUAGCAUGCACAUCAUCCGAAUUAUUUUCUUCAUAUAAGGUACACAUGUGCGUUAAGAAAGAAACAAUCUCAGAAAUAUCAAGAGUUAAAUCUUGAUUUUCAUCACUAGUAGGAAUGUGUUUUGCUUGAAGAACAAUUAACCAUCUAUUGUUAGAAGGAUCAGUGAUAUAAAACACUUGUAUUACUUGUGAUGCCAUGAUAAAAGAUUCGUUCAUAUAAGAUAUCUUGUGAAGGUCAACCCUGUAUGAAUCAUAAUUCAUUAAUUUGUACAUCAUCGUUACUGUCAAUCCACUUGCCUUUAAAUAAAGGCACUUUAUAUAUAACAUAAUUAUUCUCUCAAAUCUAUCCAAUAACCCCAAAGUACACUGUAAAUGUCAUUAAAAGAUUCUUAUCUUUGAAACUAGAGAAGUACAUGGAUUCAACAUCAACCAUAACCCCACUAUUUUGCAUGGUACUAUGAUCAUCCUUUGAUUUUGUAUCACUACAACAAAUAAUAUAUUUUACAACAAAUCUUAUACCUCAACCAACGAACAACCGAGGUGAAACCAUAGGCGAACCACAUAUCAAUUAUUUUAAUUUUUUAUAUAUAUUCCAUUGGUUGUGCUGGCAAUAGAGGGGAUACAUUUUGAUCAACCCCCUUCGAAUCUAACAAUUGCAUUUAAGCAAAUUUUAUUUUACAUUUAAUUUUUUAUUUAUGAAAUAUUCCUUCAGUUGAGCUGGAAAUCGAGGAGAAAUAUUUUGGUCAUAUUCCAAACAACUUCAUUUUAGCUUAUUUUGUUUUUUUAUUCCAAUACGUUUUGAUCAACACCUCUUCGAAUCCUAGCAAUUGCAUUUAAGCAUAUUUUUAUUUUACAUUUAAUUUUUUAUUUAUGGCAUAUUCCAAACAACUGCAUUUUAGCUUAUUUUAUUUAUUUAUUUUAUACCUAUUCCCUCCUUGUACUGACAAUCGAGGGGAAUACAUCUCUAACUGAUACAAGAUAAUUGUAGCCUAAUUAAUAAGAUGGAGAAAAAUACAUCUCUAAUUGACACAAGAUAAUUGUAGCCUCAUGUUCUAACUCAUCUAUUUUUUAUGGAUCAAUGAAUUAAUAUAAUACAUCAUUGAAGAAUAAGCAUAAUUUAGUUAUAGUUUCUCUUACAUUUUUUUUGGCAAGAUGCCACGAAUAGCCACUAAUAGACGUUAUUGAUUAAGAUAUGACACACAUAAGAGCUUAAGCCAAUUAAUUUGAGAUAUUUCAUUAACACAAUUUUGUUUACAUUAGAUGAGUACGCUUAAGGAACUUUGAUACCCUACAAACACUCAUAAAAACAUUUUUUCUUUUUUAGAUAAAGUGUGACAUUCCCUAUUUCUUCCAGGGUUUACUAGUGUCGUAUACCCAUAUCCACCAUUUCUAGAUGAGCCUUCUUACCAUAUUUUGCAUUGCCUUGAAUAUUGAGAAGUGUUCUAAUUACAUUAUCACACACAUUUUUCUCCACGUCCAUCACAUCAAGAUAAUAUCUUAAAUCAAAGCUAGACUAAUAUGGAAGAUCAAAUAACAAUAACCUCAUUUUCUAUAUAUUUUUCUCAGUGAUAUUUUUUGUUUCUUUUCAAAUACAACAUUAAUAUGUUGUUGUCCUUGAUAAAUUUCCUCCCCGAUUUAGGGCUUUGGAGCGAUAUCAAAAUUCUGCUUUCCAUUAAAAGCCUUAUGCAAUCUAUGAUAUGGAUGAUUGUAUCUUAGAAUUUUUUUUAUACCCAAGGUAAACAAUCAUUUUCCAUUAUUUAGUUGGUGGUGGCAUGUGUCUACUUCAUAUAUAGGAUACACUUUAUGUCCCUUAACCAUGUACCCAGACAUAUUAUCAUACGUAGGAACAUCAUUGAUUGUGAAAUUCAACAUGACACACAUCUUGAAAUUUUCACCCGAAUAGGCAUCAUCAACAUCAAUGUCUUCCUCUUAUUAAACUCUUAAAUCUUCAAUCAACAAACUUAGAUAAACACCUAUGUUAUUUCCUAGUUGUCAUGAGACUGAAAUCAUCAUAGAUAACAUCGUAUAUUUGCACUUCAUGCACAACCGCAAAGAUAGGUAUUAAAUUAUCAGAAGAAUAAGCCAUAAAAUAUGGUUAGUACUCAAAUUAUCAAACAAGUUCAUUCCAUCAGUGGAAAGUACACGCCUAAGGUUUCUUGGCUCAUGGCCAAAAUCCAGAAACAGCUAAUCAAUUUCUUCCAUUAUAAAGAAUCAGCUAAUGAUAAAGUUUUCCAUCAAAUUUUCUUUCAUCUGUAUUCCAUCUAAUAUUAUUUGCAUCAUUUAGGUUAACAAACAUUCUCUUGAAACUUGGAGUUAUUGAUAGGUACGACAUUACCUUGGUAGGAGAACUCUUUUUGGUUACACAAUCAUCAUCAUCAAUAUUCUUAUCCUUCAACUUGUAAUCUAACCCCCACACUUCAACAUUAAUUUCAUUUUUCAUAUUCAUUAGUGUAUAAUAUGAAUUCACGAUGACAUACAUGUAUUUUGAUAUAGUUCAUACCCAUUGGACAUAAUAUAUUCAUGGCCUCAUAUAUACAUUUCGACAACUUGUUACCUUCUAGAAGCAUGUCUUUCAACAAUCCAAGCAAUUAAGUGAAGAUUUUAUCCUUCCACCCACUUUUUUCCUUCAGACUAAAUUGUCUUAACACCACUGACAAUCAUUUGAAAUUUUUGCACCCCGAAUAUAAUAUUUCUUCCUUGUUACUACAUAAAAUAUCAUACACAUGGACUCUCUUAAAAUAAUUUUCUCCAAUAAAAAAAUCAUAUCUUCUAGUCAAUCAUCCAUAUCUACAUUAUCUUCAUCUUUGUGCGACAUAUUUAAGAUUUUUUCACUUCACCAUACCACGUCCAUGUCUUAUAAUAUUAACAAAUUCUGUCACAACAUAAAUGACUCAAUAUUUCUUUCUUUCCAUGUUUUUUAGUAUUCCCACACAAAACCACAAGGAAAAUAAAAAAUUCCAUUAUUUUCAAAAAUAUUUAUUUUAGAAAAUUGAAGAAAUUCAACCACUCCACUCUCAUACUCCGUACUUAGUCUAUUUGCUUUCAUUCAACUAUGACCCAUAGCUACCUUCUAAAAAUAAAAUGAAUAAUUAUGUGUUUUUUCAUAUAUAUCUUAGGUCCCUUAUUAACUUAUUUAACAAGUUAAUAUUAUGCCAAAAGUAUCCCUAAAUAGAGGAUCCUGAGAAACAAACAACAACAAUAACAAUAACAACAACAACAUGAAUUAAACAUUUUAGGACAAAAAAUUCCUUUACAACUGAUACAUUAAACCUUUUACUCUCAACAACAACAACAUUAAUAGUUUUACAAUAGCAACAUAUAUUACUAGCAUAUUUAGCGAGAAUGUUAAGCAUAGGAGACAUAAUUGGUUCUGCCAAGAUAAAUUUUGAUAAAGAGGUAGGUCAUAUUAGAAGUAAUUCAUAUUUAUUAGUUGUACUAUUUUCUUAGCCCCUAAGUUUGUUAGAGGGUAUUUUAGUAUUUUAUCCUAUUCUAGUAACCCUAGUUUUAGCUUAUAAAUAGGGUGACAAUCAUUGUAACUUUUAUCAUCAUGUUUUGUAGUCGUCAUUCUCUGAAUAUAAUAUUUCCAUUCAUCAUUUAUUCUACCUUUGCACCAACAAUUGGUAUCUAGAGCUCCGGUUCGGAUUCAUUGGGAAACACGAGNNNNNNNNNNNNNNNNNNNNNNNNNNNNNNNNNNNNNNNNNNNNNNNNNNNNNNNNNNNNNNNNNNNNNNNNNNNNNNNNNNNNNNNNNNNNNNNNNNNNNNNNNNNNNNNNNNNNNNNNNNNNNNNNNNNNNNNNNNNNNNNNNNNNNNNNNNNNNNNNNNNNNNNNNNNNNNNNNNNNNNNNNNNNNNNNNNNNNNNNNNNNNNNNNNNNNNNNNNNNNNNNNNNNNNNNNNNNNNNNNNNNNNNNNNNNNNNNNNNNNNNNNNNNNNNNNNNNNNNNNNNNNNNNNNNNNNNNNNNNNNNNNNNCAGAUGGUUCAAUUGGCAAACAUAAAGCAAGGUUGGUAGCCAGAGGAUUUCUACAGAAACCUGGGCUGGAUUACUCUGAAGUGUUUGCACCUGUAGCAAGACAUGAAACAAUCAGAAUGGUGAUUGCAAUAGCUGCUAACAGGAAUUGGCCUCUGAUGCAUUUAGAUGUAAAAUCUGCAUUUCUGAACGGUCCAUUAGAAGAAGAAGUUUACGUGUCACAACCUCCUGGAUUUGUGAAAAAGAAUCAGGAAGGGAUGGUGUACAGAUUAUACAAAGCUCUAUAUGGAUUGAAACAAGCGCCCAGAGCUUGGAAUCAGAAGAUUGAUUCAUUUUUCAAGAAGCAAGGCUUUCAGAAAUGUGAGAUGGAGUACGAUGUCUAUGUUCAACAUACUUCUGAAGGAAAUAUGACUCUGGUAUGUUUAUAUGUUGAUGAUAUACUGCUGACUGGAAGUUCUGAACUGGAGAUAGCCAAGUUCAAGAAAGUUAUGAUGAAUAAAUUCGAAAUGACUGAUUUAGGCAAAAUGACAUACUUUCUAGGGAUGGAAUUCAGAUACUCUGAGAAAGGUAUUAUUUUGCAUCAGCUCAAGUAUGAAUUAGAAAUUCUGAAGAGAUUUAAUCUAAAGAAUUGUAAGAUUGCUGUCACACCUUCUGAUACAAAUCAGAAAUUGGAUUUUGACUCUGAUGGAAAGGAUGUGGACGCUACAACCUUCAAACAGUUGGUUGGUUCUCUGAGGUAUUUGUGCAAUACCAGACCUGAUAUUUGUUAUUCAGUUGGGAUGGUUAGUAGGUUCAUGAGUAAACCUAAGUGGUCCCAUUACCAAGCUGNAAAAUCAGAGAGAACAGCAAAAUAUUAACGUCCAGUUGAGCACGUGUCCGUUUUGAUGAUCGGAAAACUCUAUGCUAUUGGCAUGCCUCCGAAUGUCAGUCAACGUGAUGUGAGUGGUGAUGCUAACACAUUAGUAACAUCGGGUGGUAUAUGGAUCACUCUUUCCUAAAAAAAAUGAACAAGCGACUUUAGAUAUAUAAGAGAGAUGAUCAUCACGCCUACCAUUCAGAAACUAGAGAACAAAAUAGGAGAGCUAGGAGGACUUUGUACUGACUACACAUGAAAAGAAGGCACUAAAGAUCAGAUGUGCUGAUGUAUCAAGAAUAUCGCUAUCGCAAGAAGGUAUGGAAAAUGAUCAGAAGUAGAUUCUGAACAAUUCAGGGUAAAAAUCAGGGCAAUUUAGAAUUCAGAAACCCGGUCAUAUAGGUGGUAUGAUGUACCGAAGAUUUAAGGACAUCAGAAGGACAAUCUUGAUACUGACAGAUGUGGGAACAACUCAUAAAUGAAAGAAAAAAAAAAAAAGUGGAGAAAGAGGGUAGGGUGUUUUCCUUUUUUUCACAUAGUAUACCUUACUAUUGAGCGACAUCAAUCCUUUCUUUGAGUUCUUGCAUAUGACUGCAAUCAGAAGUUGAUUAAUGCGAGAAUAGUCAGAGGUAUGAACAUGGCGAAGGAGAAUAGAAUCUAUCCAAGGUGAAUGUUCAAAUGAACUACAUGACUUCCAGAUAUGACAUUUCAGUGCAUUAACAAGAGUGCAUAAAGAAGAAAGGAGAGAUGUGAGGCUAGUAGUGUCUAAAAGACAAAUAAGAGUAGGUGGUCAGAUAUAUUGGAACAUAUUUUUCAGUAAAAGCUUAAUAUACUAACUAAAUAUUCUGAAAUUCAAAGAAGCUUCUUUUGGUAAAUAUGAACUUCUGCAAUUAAGAAAUGCCUGAGAACUAGUAUCUAUGGCAGAAAAGUAUUUUGCACUGAGAAGAAGGAAAAAACAGAGUCCACAAUGAUUGCCAUUUGACAGUCAGUUAAUAAGAGCUAGGGUAACCACAAAAGUAGCAUAAGAAAAACCAUGCAAAGCUUAUUGGUUGAAGGAUUGUACAUUCUGAAUAGUGUGUGGAAUCUCGCGAGGUCCUACGAUUAGCAUCUGAAUAUUGUGUAGUGGAGAUAAAAUAGAUCAUUGCUGUUAUUAGUUGAUGACAUUUUCACUAAAGUAAUGUCAGCACAUGGGUAUCCCUUUAAUUAAGACCUGAACGUCAUUAGGAAGUUUUAACCCACGCGGUGUUUGAUGAAUUCAAGAGUCAGAAUGAAGGCUGAAGAACAGAGUGGUCCAAGAAAGUUGAAGAUUCUUAGAACUGACGGUGGGGAAGGGAUAUAAACUCCAAAGACGGUUCCAGAAUCUGUGAGGAGGAAUAUGGGAGAGUAGAAGAGCAUUGAGCAGUUUACGUCUAUGUACCUAUUAUAUAACCUCUCAUCCACUCAAAUCCAAUGGUCUUGUUGAAAGACAACGACUAUAUAUCGCACAUUAUUGCUUGAUAAUAGGUGAAGAUAGUCAAUGCUAAAGGAGAAAAACAUCCAGUCUAUAUAGAAACUUCUGAGGGAGAUUAGGCUGUUGCCCAGACUUGAGAUCAAUUGAGUGUUUAUGUUACUGCAACGUAAUGUACUCACACUUCACGAUGUCCUAUCAGAAGAAUAGUGACUUGAAAAUUAGUCUAUGCCACUAUACAGGAAGUGGACUGAGAUAAGCAAAGUGUUAGUCAUCUGAAGGUGUUUGUUCAGUUUGCAAAUUAGAGCUCCAAUACAUGUUCCAGAAAGCCUAGAAGAACAAGAAGCUGGUUGGAUCAGAACAGCAAAGUUGAUGAUUCUGAUAGGGUACCACAGUUACAAAUAGGUUGCAAUACAAGCUCUUAAUUGAGUGCAUGAAUACGUCUUAUUAAAGAAAUUUCAAUCAGGCAGAGAGAACUGUGUAUUGAGUGAAGGGAAUCAACAGUUGGAAUUGCGAGAUAUCAAAAGUCUCAAUCUGAUCUUCUGAGAAUGUAGAGAACGUUAUCUGAAAAACAGAGCACAUGAAGUUAAUAAAUUUCAUGAGAAGUUGUGAGUAAAAAACUCUGAAACACGUUGAGAAAUCUGAUUACUAGAUAGUACAUUCCUGACUACUGAGAGAAGACUCUCAGAUUAAGAUGAUAGGUGACUACACUGAUUGACCCAGACUACCGAUAUGAAACCCGGAACGUCACUGAUGGUUAAUCAUUUUGGUAACAAUUCAUAUUCUGAGGUGAGUCACCAUUCCCGACUACUGGAAAGAAUAUUGCCAGAUCAACCCCUCGGAGAGAUGAUAUGCAAGACGUCUCUGGAGGAUAAAACAUUUGAAGCUAGAAAACAUCAUGUAAAGAGACUCCCAUGACUCUGAACUAAGUUAUCAAUAUGAGACCGAGCAAAAGAAUCAGAAAUAAUCCUUAAGUAGAUGAUAUGUUCAGGAAUUUAUUGUACAAUGCUGGCAAAGACUCAACCACUAGGAAAAGUUACGACUCUAGAAGGAAGAAAGUUAUUCAGUGUAGCCAUGAUUAGUAGAUCAUCUGACGCUCAUAUAAGUACAAAAAGAUAGGCUCCUAAUGACAGUAUAUAUAAAGCUCUUGGAGCUGAAGCCCAUGAAAGAAGAACUUGAUGCUAAUAGUAGAAGAAACAUAGAACUUGGAUAGCUGACAGAAACUUCCAAAAGACAAGAAAGGUCCAUCAUGCAGUCAAUAAUGGGUUUGUCAAUGGCACAGACGUUAAUAGCCAGAUGUAGUUCAAUUUAGCAAACAUUAAAGCAAGGUUUGGCUAGUCCAGAGUGAUAUUCUACAGAAACCUUAGGGGCUGAUUACUCUGUAAAGUGUAUUGCACGCUGUAUGCAAGACAUGAAACUAAGUUCAAAGUGGUGUAGUUGUGUUGCGAAUCUGCUGGCUAGAAGGAAUUGGGCGGCGUCUGAUGACAUUUAGAUGUAAAAUCUGCAUUGUCUGAACGGUCCAUUAUGGAAGAAGAAGUUUACCGUGUCACACCUCACUGGAUUUGUGAAAAGAAUCGGAAGGGAUGGUGUACAAUUAUAUCAAAGCUCUAUAUGGAUUGAACAAGCGCCCAGAGGCUUUGGAAUGACAUUGAUUCAUUUUUCAAAGAAGCAGGCUUUCAGAAAUGUGAGAUGGAGUACAGGUCUAUGUUCAGCAUAUUUCUGAGAGAAAAUAUGACUCUGGUACAUGUUUUAAGUAUGUUGAUGAUAUACUGCUGAUGGAAGUUCUGAAACAGGAGCAUAGCCAAGUUCAAGAAAGUUCUGAUGAUAUGAAUUCGAAUGACUGAUGCUAGGCAAAAUGACAUCACUUUCUAGGGAUGGAAAUUCAGUACCUGAGAAAAGGUAUUAUUUCUUGCACUUCAGCUCAAGUUAGAAUCUAGGAAAUUCUGAGCAGAAUUUAAUCUAACGAAUUGUUAAGAUUGCUGUCACAGGCCUUCUGCUACAAUCAGAAACUGGGAUUGACUCUGAUGGAAAGGAUGUGGACGCUACAACUUCAAACAGUUGGUUGGUUCUCUGAGGUAUUUGUGCAUACCAGACCUGAUAUUUGUUUAUUGCAGUGGGAUGGUUAGUAGGUCAUGGAAUAAACACGUAAGUGUCCCAUUACCGGAAGGCCAUUUGUGGCUAAGAAUACGUUCAGAUUAUGGAGGUAUAUAAGGGAACUCUGAAGUAUGGAGUAUUAUUUCUUCUGGAAGAAAGGAAUGAGUUACAGAAACUUGCUGAGAGAGUUAAUUCAAAUUCUGAAUAGUGGUGGUGGAAAGGAUAGAGGAAAGUUAGACAAGAGAGUCACUCCGAACGUACAGUGUAUCAAUGAGGAUACAUUAUUCAAAGUUAAUAGGGAAAGGAAAUCCACAGAUAGUACUGAAGUGAGUGGUGAACACAAAGAAGCAACCUAGAUUUAUGGGCGUUAGUCAAACUUGUAGAAAGGGACUGAAUAAGCAAGUGGGGAGAACAAGGAGUGCUAAAGAAAGAAGUUACAAGAAAACUGGAGGAAGAAGAAGCAUGCUCGGAGAAGACUGUGUGGAUCUGAAUCUAAAAUUACGCAGAGAUUCUGACAAGAAUCUAAAGUAAACAAACUCUGAAGCUCUGAGAUUGUACACAAGUCUGGCACACAUCAAUCCUAUGACCAGAAAACCUCCAGUGAUUGCAUUGGCGCAGAUCAGCAAGCACAUAGAUGCACCUGCAUAGUAUCAUCUUUUCUGAGAUAACAGGUCAAGUUUCCAGCAGGGGAGUGUAUAGACUAAAGGUUGAUACAAUACUGCAAGGCACUCCGAAACAAUUGGCAGAAGUAUUGUCUGACGGAGAGGGAGCUAGUGAAGACGUGAUGCGAGAGUUGUCCUCAGAUUAAGGAUGGACAUUGUGUUACAUAGUUUGGGAUGGAAUAUGAUAAGGGAUGGUAUAGAAGUAAUUCAUAUUUAUUUAUUUACUAUUUUUCUAGCCCUAGGUUUGUUAGAGGGUAUUUUAGUAUUUUAUCCUAUUCUAGUAACCCUAGUUUUAGCUUAUAAAUAGGGUGACAAUCAUUGUAACUUUUAUCAUCAUGUUUUGUAGCCGUCAUUCUCUGAAUAGAAUAUUUUCAUUCAUCAUUUAUUCUACCUUUGCACCAACAGGUCAUACUUGAUUCAUACUUCAAGAUUCAAACACAAUAUGAAGAUGGAAAACUAUUAAAAGAUGGUUAUGGAAAGGAUAAUAACAACAAAUAUUACUAAGAUAUUUAAAUCUUUAAUCUCAAUAGCAACCACAAUAUUAUACAUUUUACAAAAACAAACUAAUAUUUCUAAGUUACGUGCAUGGAUAAAAUGAUUUAUGUAUCAGAAACGUGAUGAAGAACACAAAGACAGUGGUUGAGGAAGCUUUGUUUGGAGUUUCGUUUCGUUUCCUUGCUUCUUUCAAGUUUUGUCGCCUUUAGUGGUGUUUGAGAGAAGAAGAUGAAGUUUCAAAGAUGUUUAUGGAAGAAAUAAAGUUUAUUGUGGAAGUACUCAUGUUUGGAGAAGAUGAAGUUUAAAGCUCAUUACAGGAUAAAUGAAGUUUCGAGUUGUUUGACAAAGAUGAAGUUUUGAUGGAUAAAAUGAAGAUUCGGUUUAGGGUCUAUUCAGCUUUGAAGGAGAAUUGAAAAUAGCGUUUAUUCUUAAAGUUGUCUCUUUUGUGGAACUAUAAUUCUGUUUGAGGUUUCCUAUCGGUUGAGGGGUUCAACCAAGGGAAUAAAUAUCCUACAUUUUAAUUUUAAAAAAAAUUAAAAAUGAAAGGCGCCAAGUGAACAAUUUACGUAUCGUUAAUCAUACCAACUUUUUAAAAAUAAAAUUAAAAAGUGUAGUUGCUCAAAAUCGAAGGCGUGUCCACUACAGACUUUUUCCAUCGGUUAAUAACCCAAUCGAGAGAAUAUGUAUCUUUUUAAAAUAAAAAAGUUGAUUAUUGACCGAGAUGAAAACAUUGCUAUAAAAUCGAUUAGAUGUUGUAGCGAUGAUUCAAGUAAUAUACUAACUUAAAAUUUUGUUAAUAUUAUUAUAAAUAACCUAUUUGUAUUAACAUACAUAUCUAUAGUUAUGUUAUGUUGUAGGAAAUAUAUUUAAUUGGUAAGGCCUUUCACACUUUUAAAAUAGCGUCUGUCAAUAAAUUUUGUUUAAGACAAAAUGAUGAAAAUAUUAAUCUCAUUUCUCCAAAAGAAAUAUAAAAAAUUUAUCCAUCUUUUUAUUUGGAGAAAUUUGAAAAUGGGCAUUUGGGAGAGGGUAUUUUUAUAAUAUUAUUCUUUAAAAAUUAACUUAUUAAUAAUUUACUUGUUUUGAAUUAAUAUAAUUGCUAUCUUUUUAUUUAUUUUAGAAAUUGUGUGAAGAAAAUAAAAAAAUGAGCAUCCAAAUCUGAAUUCUCAUAUAGAAAAUCACCGAAGGAUAUGCUGAAUUUAAAGAAAACAUUCUAACCAAUGGUAGUGGCGGAUCCUAAAAUGUUUUGUAAUGAGGACAAAAAAACGUACAAUAUAUAAUAUAUUUUAGGCUUAAAUAGUCUUUUGGUCUCUGUCAAUUAGCAAGUUUUUGAUAUUGGUAUCUGUAUCGUUUUUUUUUGUCUGAGUCCCUAUAUCUCACUUUUAUGUUGAGAUUAGUCCUUGACGUUAAAAGAUGAUGUGGCGAACCAUUCUAUUUGAUAAAAUCAUUGCAACUAACUUUCACAUAAGCGCAGUGACGGAUCCUGAAAUGUUUUGUAACGAGGACAAAUAAACGUAUAAUAUAUAAUAUAUUUUAGGCUUAAAUAGUCUUUUGGUCUCUGUCAAUUAGCGAGUUUUUGAUUUUGGUCUCUGUAUCUUCUUCUUUUUUUGUCUGAGUCCCUAUAUCUCACUUUUAUUUUGAGAUUAGUCUUUGACGUUAAAAGAUGACAUGACCAACCAUUCUAUUUGAUAAAAUCAUUGCAAUUAACUUUCACAUAAGCGCGAUAAACGUUAACAAUUCCACUUAUUUUCUUUGAAUUCCACUUAUUUUUUUUAUUUUUUUUUGUCUGAAUCCCUAUAUCUCCAUUUUAUGUUGAGAUUUAUAAACAUAAAAAAUUUAUUCAUCUUUUUAUUGGACGAAAAAAUGGGCAUUUGGGAAAGGGCAUUUUUGUAAUAUUAUUCUUUAAAAGUUAAUUUAUUAAUUUUUACUUGUUUUGAAUUAAUAUAAUUACCAUCUUUUAUUUAUUUUAGAAAUUGUGUGAAGAAAACAAAAAAAUGAGCAUCUAAAUCUGAAUUCUCAUAUAGAAAAUCACCGAAGGAUAUGCUGAAUUCAAAGAAAAAAUUCUAAGCAAGGGUAAUGGCGGAUCCUGAAAUGUUUUGUAACGAGGACAAAAAAACGUAUAAUAUAUAAUAUAUUUUAGGCUUAAAUUGUCUUUUGGUCUCUGUCAAUUAGUGAGUUUUUGAUUUUGCUCUCUGUAUCUUUUUUUUGUCUGAGUCUCUAUAUCUCACUUUUAUGUUGAGAUUAAUGCUUGACGUUAAAAGACAAUUAGUGAGUUUUUGAUUUUGCUCUCUGUAUCUUUUUUUUUGUAUGAGUCUCUAUGUAUCUCACUUUUAUGUUGAGAUUAAUGCUUGACGUUAAAAGACAAUUAGUGAGUUUUUGAUUUUGCUCUCUGUAUCUUUUUUUUUGUAUGAGUCUCUAUAUCUCACUUUUAUGUUGAGGUUAGUGCUUGACGUUAAAAGAUGAUGUGGCCAACCAUUCUAUUUGAUAAAAUCAUUGCAACUAACUUUCAUAUAAGCGUAUUAAGCGCCAACAAUUCCACUUAUCUCACUUUUAUGUUGAGAUUAGUCCUUGAAAAGUUAGUUUUUCAUUUCCAUUUAUUUUUAUCUACCAUAAUUCCAGAUAAGCGCCAAUAAUUCCACAUAAGCGUUGUUUUGUUUGGGGGCUUAAAUCUUUAAAAGAAAACAAAUUCAAAACCUGGUCCUAUUAGGGAUUGAAUUCAUGGCCUUGCUAUUAUAAACAAUUAACUUUCCACUAGGUCGACCAUUCUAUUUGAUAAAAGCAUUGCAACAAGAAUAUAUAUUUCAUAAGUGAUUCAAUAUUUAAUAUAUUACUUAAUUUUUCAAUUAUUAAUCAUUAAUUAAUUUAUUUCAACUAUAAAUUACUUAAUAUUCCACUAAGUGCUUCAACUCAUGCACUUUCAACCCUUGUUUACACUAAUUGAUGUUCAUGAAAUAGGAGAAUGAUAAUGAUAAUCACAUAUAUAUAAAAUGCAUGAGUGCACUUGCAUAAGUGUAUAUACAUGCAUGCGUGUAUUUGUUUUGAAAAAUGCUUCACCUUCAUGCAUACAUGAAAAUAACAUUGGUACUUUGAGAAACUAAGAAUCCAAACCUUACUUCAUAAACAAACAUGAAGAUACAACUUUAAUGGAAGAUGAUGGUGAAGAUUGUGAGAGAAAGAGUAAAUAAUAAAGUUACAUAAUCAAACUACAAAAAAUGAUUAUGGUUUGAAAUGGCGGAACACUAAAUAAACAUACAUGAAUACCUCAUAAACAAACACAUGUUCUCAUCGAUCUGUGAAAAUUAUGGGUUUGUAUGAAUGUUGGACAUGAAGAUAUGAAUUCAAACCUAGAAUUAGGGACUAAAAAAAAAAAAGGUUACAGAGACUAAAGCAAAAAACGCGCCAAUUUAUAGGGACGAAAAAAAUAUUUAAUCCAAAAUUCUGGGUUUGUGUUCAUAUCUUCAUCCCUAUCCAUCAUACAAACCCUGAAUUUUUUCAAAUCCAAAAUUAUUCUUUGUUCAUUCCUUAUUUUUCCUUUUCAUAAAAAUGAUUUUUCACACUUCUAUCAAGACCAAAGACUGCCACUAUACAAUAAAAAUCCACCAUCAAUUCUAUUAGGUGAUAAAGUUUACAAACCCAUAUCCCAUCAUUAGAAAUAACAACUAAAUUAAUUGAAACAAAACAAAGUUAUGUAUUGAAGAUUUGGAACGGAGUAAAGUUACCAAAUGAAUACGUAGCCAUGGAGGAAGGUGAAGAGGAAGAAGAAGAAUACAUAUUAAAGUAGAGGAAGAAAAAGAAGUUUAAAUUGCAAAAUCAAUUCAUUUUUGGAUUUAGUCAUUCGCAUUAUGUAAUAUAUACCUAUGCGUUGUAAAUACAAGGUCCAUGGUUCAACCACUCUUAGGCCCAUUUUUUGAAAUUUUUUCUUUUAUCAUUUAACACAAAAAUAAUUAAAUAAUAAAUAACUAGUGUAUGUGGAAUUAAAAAAAAGAAAAAAAUCUGUCACACCAGCAACGUUAGCCACAUUAAUUUUUUUUGUAACGGAGAAUUGAUGUUAAGGACUGAAACCAAACGAAAUUCAACAUAUAGGGACUUAUACAAAAAAAAAAUACAAGGAUUAAAAUCAAAAACUCGCUAACUUACGGAGGCUAAAAAACUAUUUAAACCUAUAUUUUUUAUUAAUUAGUAUUCUUAUUCUAAAAGAAGUAAAAAAUAAUAUAAGAAUCUAUGAUUAAAAAAUCAUUCUCUUUAUCCCUAAAUAUAAACACAUCAUUUGCAAAUAAAUUAUCCUUAAAAAAACCACAUUUGUAUAAUAAAAGACAUGUUUAUUGUUUAUUUUUUUAAAUAAAUCCUAAUUAAUAUCACAAAGUGUCUUGGAAUAUGAAAUUAAAAUUAACGAUAUACAUAUAAAAUGGAUACAUUAACUACAUUAUAAAUAUUUCUAACUUUUCUUUAAUAAAAAAUAGAAUACACAAUCAGUGCUUAUACUGUGAAUAUAAGUGCUAAUAAUAUAAUGGGUUAUCUCUUCUAACUUCUUAUAUUUAUUUUCUUAAAAUAAUUGAUUAAAUUAGAAAACACUUAUUAUUUUAUGGGAUAAAUGUGUGGAGUGGGUUAUUAUUAUCAAAGCAAACUAGGAGUAUUAGAUUAUACUCACAUACAUACUUUUACUUUGUGGGGCUGGAGUCUCCUUACCCUUGUACUUAGAUCCGCCCUGAUUGUAAGUAUGCUAUGAAAUGCUUUCUUAAAUGAUAGAAUAGAGACCUUAUAUAUAAUAUAUUAUAUAUAUAUAUAUAUAUAUUAUUAUUAUAUAUAUAUAUAUAUAUAUAUAUAUAACUGUUGUUUUUAUAUUUGUUUAAUUAGUAAUAAAUGAAUGAAGAGGGUAAUUUAGUAAAGAAUGUCACAAGUAAUAUUAUAUAAAUGAAAUAAAUUUCCAAUAUGUUAUUUUUUCAAAAUAUAUUUUAAAAAAAUAUCAACUAAAUAGCAUAUCUCAUGCUAAAUUAUGAAAGGAAAUUUCGAGUGAGUAAAGACAGAUUAAUUGAGAAUGAUAAUGUUCGAAGUAUAUGAGACAAGUCUAAUUAAAAUAAGGGAAAUGCUAACAAGUGUCUCGAGCACUGAUUAAGAGACUACCCUGAUAAGUUGAGAUAUGUUUUUUAAAAUAUAUGUGUAUUUUUAAAAUAUAUGUGUAUUCAAUGUACUCAAAAUAGAAAUAAUUAAUUUUUUUAAAGAAUAUUGCUUGUAUUCAAUGAACUGAACUAACAUUUUUUUAAUUUAAAAUUCUUAACCAGUGUCCGAGGCCCUUACAAUAAUUUUGUGUAUUCUCGUAUUACCAUGUUAAUUAUUUUUUAUAAUGAUUAAUACAUUUUUUCUCUUUAUUUGUAUCAGGAGUUCACAAGUACAAUAAUACCUUUUUAAUCGAGGUUGUUAAGUCACUUCACUUGACACAUGACUUAAGAGCCAACGCGGGGACAAUAUUGUAAAUAUUUGUAACUUCCUUAGAUCGGAUGUAUUUAAAACUUACUUAAAAGUCUAUUUAUUAAGUCAUGUGUCGCCCACCUGAUCUAAAAAGUUUUAUUUAUUUUUCACAAAUUAAAUUUCAAUGUGUACUAUAAGGGAAUCAAACCCGAUACCCUUGAGAAAACGGUUUUAUAUCCAAUUAAAUUUGUAAAAAAUAAAAUAAAUAAUUAAAGUUAUCAAUAUAUCAAAAAAAAAAAAUAACGCAUCAAAAUGCAAACCCUUGUUCUUCUAAACCUUUUUUUCACGCAAAACCCUUAUCUCACUGCAAACUCAAUCUUAACUACAAACCCUUCUCUCACUACAAACCCUUCUUCACCACAAAUCUAUUUGUCAAACACUUUUCACAAACCCAUAAAUCUCUUUGUCAAACUCUUCUCACGAAGUCAUAAAUCUCUUCCUCGAAUCCUUCUGAUAAAACCCAUAAUUCGUACUCUUCUCACGAACCCCUCAUUGAAAAUUUUAAACCUUAAAUUCCUGGAAGGUUAUACUCAUUCAAAAGUAAGUUGUAACAACCCGUAUAAUAUAUAUCUAGAAUAAUAUCAUGCAAGUGUUAUUAUUUGGUACUGACACAAUCAUAAGUGCCUAUUGACAUCAUUUACAUACUUGACCAAUUAUACAAAAAAAAAUACAACAUAUGGUAUAAGAUAUGGAAAGCGUAAAAAAAAACUAAGAUCUAAGUACAAUAGUCAUCAUUGUACAACGUUCACAGCGGAAAAUCACAAUAACAACAUCCCUUGAAACAUCAAUGCACAACUCUUCUUGUAUACUACAGCUGCAACAAAAACCUGAAAAAUAACAACAAUAUUGGGGUGAGAUGAUAAUCUCAGUGAGUUCCCCUAUACUAUGGGUCCACUCGGCUUUACAAGGUUUUCUAAUCGAAUCCUAGCUUAAGUUUUCACCUUCUGUUACUUGUGCAUCACUCGCACCUUGUAACUGGGACUUGAGCAACCAAGGGAUAAUCGCAAUGUAUGGAAACAUGUCACUUGAGUUCACAUAACUUAAUAAAUCACUAUUCGGAUUCACAAAACAUCAAUCCCCGAACGGACUUACGUAUAAGCCAGGCUCGAUUCGCGCAUGCUCGUUUGAUUCGACUUUCACGGUGGAUAUCAGGUCCUCUAUGAGGCUUAAUCCUCAGUUCAAGCGACCGUCACCCGUAUGUGCCUCUAACCCACUUAGGGCAUCUUUCACCGUAUGGGUAUCUAACCCACUCAGGUGUCCACCUUUCCCCCAUGUCCUCCAUGGUUGGGGCUCAAACCCAAUUGAGACACGAAUCAUCGGUGCCACAUCCCCACUUACCGCUUUACCUAAACCGUUGAAGUGGCAUGUGCAUAAUCACAACUAAUUCCGAAUACGUGAUUAAGUCUCAACAAUAAUAGGACUUAUGGAACAAAGUUCCUCACCAAAUAUCAAUUCAAUUCUCAUGGUAUUCAUUAAAUACUAGGUGUUCAUAUCCAUAUAUUGACAUAUUAUUUCACAUGUUCCAUACAAAGCAUAUUGAAUCGUUAUCAGGCUAAUACUUGUCCUUGACACACACCUAGGUACCAUUGGGACCAAGCAUCACCGUAUACCCAUUUCCAUGACCUAGAUUAUAUUUCUAAGUUAUUAAUCAAGUUAUACUCCUAAGAUUUCCUCACUCAUCAUCAUAUGUUUUUAACCAUUCAUGUGCACACACACAAUACCAAUACUUAGCUUAUAUCAUAAUAUUCAUAAAGUAUACACAACGUAAUAUAACAUGGUACAAGAAACAUAAUCAAGCUAUUACACUCAAUUAAUUUAUCAAUCUAUCCUAAUAAAUAUUUAGGUUAACAUUAACUCAUUGCACAAGUAUUCAACAACAAAAUCCUAGGCCUAGUGGUAAGGCUUGUACCAUAUUAAGGAGGUCUCGGGUUUAAUCCCUGUUGGUGACAUAUUUUUGUUUUUCAAGGAAUUAAUUCAUGUCAAUUGAUUGACAAAAUGGAACAAUUGAUUAUGUUUUUAUCUUUUCCAAACCUACAUAAACUUCUUUUUUCUCUAACAUAACAAUUGGCCAGGACCAAUUGAUUAUGUUAUUAUCUUUUCCAAACCUACAUAAACUUCUUUUUUCUCUAACAUAACAAUUCAUUUGAUUCCUCAAACAAUACCCAUCAUAGUUUCACCACACAUCAUACAAUCAUUCCUUAAUUGAUUCAAGAUCAUGAACACAUAAUCAUAAUAGCAACAACUAACAUGUGUUCAUGACAAUUUAUACUCACAAUAGCAACAACCACAAUCAUAAGGUAUCAACACCAUGAUAGACUAAGACAAUAUGUGAAGGUCAGGGAGAAAGACAUAUAAUCAUGGAAGAGUAAGGACAACAACAAGUUCAUCAUGGAUUCAUCAAGUUCAUGAUUAUGCAUUAUACAAAAAACCUAACCCCAAAUUCAUAAAAUUUCUUCCCCCCAAUACUAUACUAGUUAGGAACUCACCUUAAAGAUGAAGAUGAUGGAAAUGAUUUGAUUUGAUGGUUGAUGUUUUCCACUUCUUCUUCUCCAAGUUUCUUCUUUCUUUCUCUUCUUCUCCUUCUUCUCCUUUUCUCUUUUUUUCCCCUUUCUCUCUUUUUUUCUUUUCUUUCAGAUAUCUUUAUUUCUCUUCCUUCUUAUUCUUAUCCAUUACUUUCCUUCUUCUUUCUAUACACCCCCCCCCCCCCCACACACACACACACACAUAUUAUAUAUAUAUAUAUUAUUAUAUAUAUAUAUAUAUAUAUAUAUUAGAUAGUAAUACAAAAUAUCUCAAUUAAUAUUUUAUCUUCUAGCACCAGUUGACCAACUAUUAAUGUUACCAAAAUGUCUCCUCUUGUAUUUAUUAAUAUUGGUUUGUUUUUUUAUUAAUAAUUAAUCUCUUCAGAGUUGACUGGUUACUCUAUUGAUCAAAACUGAUAAUAUUUAGAGCAUAUAUGAGCUCUAAUUGUUCCAACUGACAAAAGAUAGAGUACAUAAGAACUCAAUUGAUCUCAACUGACAAUUAAUUGAAUAUUUAAGGGGAUAUGAGAUAUUACAUAAGUACUUCCUCCGUCCCAUAAUGAGUUACUUAUUUGGAAUUAAAGAGUGUCUCAAAAUAAAUGACCCAUUCAAUUUCCAAUGCUUCUUUUUCAAUUUUACCCUCUAAUUAAUAUUACUUUUGUCAUUCUCAAUACAUUAUAAGAGUAAUUUAGUAAAAAUAUCAUUCUCCCUCUUUUCUUUAUUCAUUUUUCUUAAUCUGUAUGAAAUAAUCAAUCGAAUCACUCAUUGUGGAACAGAGAAAGUAAUUUGUAAGGCCUAAUUUUUAAUUUUUAUUGUUGUGAUAUUUUAAUCUCUAUAUUCGUUAUGAUAAUGAGUUUUCGGCUACAAAGUGUUUGUCAACUUCUUCUUUCAUAUCUCUCAUCUCUUUAUUAAGCUUGUUCAUUUUUGAAACAUAGCACGUUGAAAUGGACCACCGUCUCAGAGUUCCAACCGCCACCAUGGUCAGCAUCACUCGUAAGUGUAAAUCUCAUCUUUCCUAAAAUUACUAUGUUAUCCUUUUCAUUUUUAAAUCCCAAAAUUUCUCUAAUUCCUUUUUCUUCUCAAAAUUGAACAAUGGCUAGAUGCUACAAUUGGUUAUUUGAAAAACAAAAUACAUAUAAAAGCCUUUGAUUUUAAUCAUAAAAUUUUCCACUAAUGAUGAAAUUCGUUGCUUAGACAUUUAGAACAAUUAUGUUGUGCACAAUGUUGUUGGUGGAGUCAUGCUCAUUAAAACUAACUUAAUUUUCUUAAUACGAAUAUGGAUUUAGUAAUAAAGUGUGAAUGACUUAGACAUUUAGAACUUAAUUUUUACAAUAUUGUACACAUUUUUGUAAUAGCUAUUGUUUUUAUGUAAAUUUUUAUUUCUCCCGAGUAUUCAUUUUUUCUAUUAGUUAAUUUGGUUAUAAAUUGCAACUUUAUUCUUUAUUUCAAUUCUUGCACUUUUUGUAAUGUAGUUGAAUCUAAAUAUUAUAAUAUAAAAAAUUGAUGUUAUAUGCUUAAUUGCAUAAAAAGGAAAAAAAACAGGUUUUUUUUUAAAAAAAUGUUUAAUAUAUGGCGGUCAAAAUUGUCAUUAUCAACAACAAAAAAACCGCCAUUUGAUAUGGUGUCUUGUGGAUUAAGGUGUGCAUGGAUCAUAAACCAAACCAAAUUGAAUCAUAUAUAUGAUUCGGUUUGGAUCUUAAAACUAUUUUCAUAAAACCAAUUUAGUUUCUUAAAACCGGUUUAUAAGUGGAUCGGUUCGGUUUUAAACCGGUUUUUCACAAAAAAAGUUAAAAAAGACAAUUUUAAAUCAAUUUCUUUAAAACUAAUUUUUUAUUUUCUUAAAAAAGAAAAUUUUAAAACCUAUUUUAUAAAAAAUAAUAAUUUUUAAAACUAUAUUUUUAUAAAAUCAAUUUUUAUAUAAAAAAUAAUAUUAUUCUCUUUUAACUAACUUUUUUUAUUUUCACCAGUUAUAAAACUAUUUUAUGCAAAAAAAAAUAUUUAUUUUAAAAAAUUACUUUAAAUUUGACUUUAAUAACCAUCACAAAUAAUAUCUCGAUUAAAAAUAAUCCCUUACCUAAAAAUGAUCAUAAAAUAAAAUAAUUAUGAAUCAUAUCUCUAUAAAUCAUAAUUGUUCAUAAAAUAAAUAAUUCAUCAAAAAAAUUGUUCAAACUUCUAAAAUCUCUCAUAAUUGUUUAUAAACAAAUUUUAUGAGGUUUUAAAAUAUUUUUUCUUUUAAAAUUUAAAAAACAUAAAAAAAACAAUUUUUUUUAGAAAAAAAUAACAAAUAUUCAAAAAAAAGAAAAAACAAUAUAACAAAAAAAAAUUGAAAAUAAUUAAAUUAUAUUGUGAAAAUAAAAAUAAAAAAACUAUUUAAAAAAAUCUAUUUUUUUUACUGAAAAAAAUACAAAAUAUUUUUGAUAAAAAAUACUUUUUUAUUUAGAAGAAAAUAAUAAUUUUAUUUGAAAAAAAAUAUCAAAUAUAAUUUUUUCGAAAAAAAAAAAUCCAAAUAUAAUAUUUUUUGUGAAAAGAAAAAAAAUCUGAUUUUUAAUUUUAAAAUAAUUUUUUUAUAAAAUUUAAAAGAAUUUAAAAUAUAAAAUUGAUUUAUAAUAUGAUAAAACAUGAAAACAGAAAAAUAUAAAAAUUUAACGAAUAGUAAAAUUUAGAUGCCUAAUAACAAAACCAAAUUUUUAUAAUGGAUAAAGCUUUAUAUUUGGAUAACAAAAUGGAUACCCAAAUUUUUAUUUUAGCAUUUGGUUUGGUUUUUUAAAAGUGAAAUAAUUUGGAUACCAAUUUAGUUAUAGAUAACCGAUUAAUCUCAAACCGUCACUUUUUUCUUUAUGGCAGAAAAUGCCAUUUUUUGUUCAUUGUGGCAAUUGAAGCCGCCAUAAAGAUACUUUAAUAACCGCCACAAUGUUCUUAAUUUUUUGUAGUGUCUCAUGAUCUAAUUUUGUAGUUUAAUGAUCCUACAAAGAAAACUUAAUAAGAGCAGUUGAUGCCGAUAUGGACACCACAUGAAUCUGACUCAUGCAAUAUGGAAAAUUUUAACUUCAAUUAAAAAAAUAUAUGGAAAAAACAAACAUGAUACAUUUUAAAUAAUUGAGAACCUUGUAUAAUUCCUUUUAAAGUUAUGAGACCAAAAUAAAUCCUAAAUAUAAUAUACAAUACUAAAAAAAAUAUUUACUCUUUUAUUUGUCAUUUAUAAAAAUGAUUGUGUCCCUUGCCACACAAAUUCUAAAAAUUUUAUUUAAGUCUUUUAUUUAUUAUUAAUAAAAAAUAGUGAUGGUGUCCCUUGCUAUACAAGAUCUUCAACUAUAUUUAUAAACUGUUGUUCUGAAACUUUUUUUUUUCUUCAUAUAACUAAUCAUAGAUCCAACUAUAAAUGAAAGAACAAAAAACCACCAUUGGAUAUGAAUAAAGCAAAUAUAUUUAAAUAUAACAAGCUUUAUAGAAGGGUUACCUUUUCUUCUAGUUUUUUUUUCACUUUUAAUAAAUAAAGCAUUCUUUAUUAUUGUUUUGAAAAGAUCCUUCUUGUUUCCACCGUUGUUUUUAUUCUUGCAUCAAAUUAAAAAGGAUGAAUGUUAAGCUAAAUUUGGCAGUCAAAUUAAUAAUUUAAAUAUAUUAUCACAAAUUAAUAAGUUCAUAUAUUCUUUGCGUCCACAUUUUCUUUUAAUCAUAAAGUACAUAGCUUAGAAGAAAGACAUCUCAUGCAAUGAUAGAGACAACUGUCGAUUUUUUCUUAUAUUUUGAUAAUAUUUAGAUUCCUUUAUUCUAAAAAUAACUUUUCUUAAUUUUAAAUAUUUAAUUUUUCUUGGCCCCACUCCAUUUUAUGAUGAAUUUAACUAAUGUGAUAAUGUAUAAAUGAACAAGUUUAAUAUGGUACAUUAUUAAUAUUACCGUUAAAAUAUUAAAUUUAUCAAUUUAAAUUUUGUCAUGUGAAUAAAAUUGAUUCUAAAAUUUAAUAAAUUAAAAUUAAAUUCGGUGACAAAAAAUUAUAUUUUAAAAAUAAAUUAAUUAAAACUUUAUUUUUUAAUAAGAAAAUGCAUUUAAACUAAAAGUUUAUAUAAAAAACUAUCAUACUAUGGUCUAUUAAUUGCGAAAUUCAAAUUAUAAUUCAAGCAUAUUUAAUAUAAAGCAAAAAUCUAACCAUUUGUGCCAACUAGAUUCCUACAUGCAAAUAAGUUUUAGCAUAAAAAGAUAAAUGAUCAUUAAAAUAUGAUAAACAUAAUGAUGCAUGCAAUUAUUAUUAAGCCAUACAUAAAAUAUCGUACUUUUGUUCUAAAUAGAUCAUUCUUGACGUGGUUAAGGAGCAAAAGGGUCCCUUUUGAGUUGUCUGUGGUUAUUAUGUUUAUAUAAUAAUGUAGUUGCUCCUGCUUGCAAGCAAAUGCCUGUAUAUAUAUAAUAUAUAAUUUGUACAAACAUAACACAUUAUAUACUUUAUUUCAUGAUUAAUAUUUGCAAUGUGACAAAAAUAAUUGAAGGAAAAAAAUCAUAAAUAUUUAGUCAUAUUUAUAUUGGGGAAACAUAUAGCAAUAGUUGCCAGCUAUGCUCAUUAAGAUUCUGCUUUAGUGUUUGUUUUUCUUCUUCAAUCAUGCCCACCAAACACUAGUGGGUAUCAAGACAAUAGAAAUGGAAGACAAUUGUUAUAAUUAUAUGUGUGAUAGUUUCUUUUCUAUUUUAUGAUAUGGACCCCAAUAUGUCAAUAGAAAAACACAUACAAUUUUUUUAAUACUAAUAUAAAUUAUAUUUUAAAUUUACAUUUUUUUUUAUUAGGUUGAGACUAACUCAACUAUUUUCUCAAAUUUUUAUAUGAGAUAAUUUACUUUUUAAAUUUAUUAAAAAAUUAAUGUAUAUGGUGAGAUCAUAUAGUUUGUUAUUUCAUUAUAUUUAAAAAUUAAUUGUUUUUAUAAAAAUAAUAUAAAUGAAAUACUUUAAUUAUUUAAUGAAUUUAAAACCGAAUUAUCUCUUAUAAAAAAAUUAAGGAUAAUAUUUUAAGAUUGAUAUGUAUAUUUUUUUUAUCGUUUCUAUUUAAAUAUAGAACUCUUUAAUACACAAAUGCACACAUAUUUGCGCACAGACACACUUAUGUCUCAUUUUAGUCACAACGAUAAAAAAAGACCAUUUUUUUAUGGUGUUUAAUCCAAUAGUUUGCCAAGUAUAAGAAAUAAGUUAUAUGUUGCAGAUGAAUGUUCUUUGUUCAGGCAUAAUCAUCUUUAGUCAUAGAAAAUGUACGAGUGAAGAAAAGUUUUAUCACGAACUUAUAUGUGGGUGUCAAAUAUUCUUACUAAAAUUUUGUGUUAGACAUUGCUGAGAGUUGUGUGGUCAUCAUGUCCUAAAGUGUUUAUGAUUUAGGUUAAAAGUAUUUGACUUAAUUCCUCAUAGUUAGUCUAUUUAUAUUUAUGUAUAGGAAAGUAACCACUCUUCCAUUUAUGAUGACACCUUCAUUCUUGAAUAAGUCUCCUCUUGAGAUUUCCAUGCCACCUCUGAGGUCUAGAACUUUCUAACCGAGUCCAAGACAUGCGUUUCGAAUGAUCUCUUUGAUAGGUUGGUGUUUGUUAGUUAAUUAAUUUAAGGUAGUUAGAAGGUGGUUAGUUAGUUAGUUAGUAGUUAUCUGGAUUUAUUACUUAGAUUACAAGUCACACAAUAUUUGUAUAUAAGUGAUGUGUUGAGUUUCAUUUUAAACUAACUUCUCCAAUAACAAUAUAAACUCUUUUCACACAUGUCCUAGACAUCUUCUCCCACAUCUUGCAUAAUCUCUCUUUCUCUUCACUAAGUGUAGUUGCAUUAACAAAUUAGUAUCCAGAACUCCUGAUUUCAAAGAAGAUUUUGUACCUCUAGAGUAAUGAUUAUUGGUUGGUUUAUCAACGAUGAAUGGAAGCAAUGUCAUUCCACAUUCCCUUCUUGUUCUUGAUGGCAAGAAUUGGGAUUGUUGGAGCAAGCAGAUGAAGUCUUUGUUUGGCUUUCAAGAAACCCUUGAGGUAGUCACUAAUGGUAUGUCAAAGCUUAAUGGUAUGUCGAAGCUUAUAGAAACCCAAGAAGAAAGAUUAUAAGGCGUUUUAUUGCAUCCAAUUUGCAGUUGAUGGUAUAAAUUUUGACCGAAUGACUCAUGAUGAAUCUACAAAAGAAGCAUGGGAUGUUCUUGUUAGGUAUUACGAAAGAGGUGAGAAGGUUAAAAGUGUGAAUCUAUAAUCGUUACCCAGGCAAUAUGAAUUAUUGUAGAUGGGAGAGAAGAAGAAAGUUGCAGCAUGUGUUCAAAGUAUAAAAUCUUGUGUACUUGAUGAAAGGGUGUAGUGAAACCAUGGCAGAUAGAAAGAUCAUUGAGAAGGUGAUGAGAACUUUGACUUCUCAUUUUGAUCAUGUUAUCAUGGCAAUUCAAGAGGCUAGUGAUUUGUCCACCAAGAAGUUGGAGGAUCUCGUAGGUUCCUUAGAAGCACGUGAGAUGCGAAUUAUAGAAAGAAAAAGAGUUCAAGAAGCCAUUCAAGCUCUACAAGCUCAAACCUAGAAAGGGCAUGGUGGAAGUGGAAAAUUCAAAAGGCGUUUUGACAAAAUUAAUACCAAGAAGGGUCCAUGGUCUCACACACAAGAACAAUCAAAUGAUGAUAAAACCGAAUCUUCUAAAAAAGGAAGUAUUUCUCAUCAUAAAGGGGAGGUUGAUAAGAAGACAAUUUGAUGUUUUAAUUGUGAGAAAUGGGGUCACUUGGACAAAUAUUUUUGUUACAACAAUGAAAAAGGAGUUUCCAAAAGUAAAGGUGGCAAUGAGGGAAAUACAACACAUGAAGAUUAGAUGGUUCUAAAACUAUGGUGUUUAUGGCUGCAAUUUUUUAUGAAGGUUCAGAUUCCAAGACUUGGUUCUUAGACAUAGGUUGCUCAAAUCACACGACAUGUCAUAUAUCAUUGUUAAUCAUGUUUGAUGACUCAAGAAGGAGCAAGAUCAGACUUGCAGAUAGUAGAUUACUACAUGAAGAAGGAGUAGGUAAUAUGGUGAUCACAAGUAGCAAUCGUAAGCCAUCCAUAAUUGAAGAUGUGUUAUAUGUACCAAGCAUGAAGUGUAACUUGUUGAGUGUUAGUUAACUUAUUGAGAAAGUAUUCUCAGUAACUAUGAAAAAUGAAUCCUUUGAGCUUUUUGGUUUAACCAACAAGUUGGUUUUGAGGCCUCCUUUGUCAAAGAAUAAGACAUUCAAGACUCUGAUCAGUUCAAUGUUUACAAUUUGUGAUUGAGAAGAUACAAAGCUGGUUGUGGCAUUUGUGAUUUGGUCAUUUGAAUUUCAGAUCUCUCAAUUAACUUGUAACACAAGAGGUGGUGUUUGAUAUUCCAAAAUUCUCAAUGCCUGAGAAAUUGUGUGAAGGUUUCUUGGUAGGAAAGACAUCCAGAAAUUCAUUCAAGUUCUAUUUGUCUAUGAGAUCAACAAGCAUUCUUGAACUUGUACACUAAGAUGUUUGUGGCCUUUUGAAGACCAUACAAUUGGUGGAAACAAAUACUAUGUUUCUUUUGUGGAUGAGCAUAGUAGAAAGCUCUGGGUGUAUUUGAUCAAGCAUAAAUAUGAAGUCUUUGAAGUAUUUAAAAGAUUCAAGUUGAUUAUGGAAAAUCAAAGUGAGAAGAAGAUCAAAAUGCUCAGAAUAAAUGAUGGAUGAGAGUAUACUUCCAAGACAAUUGAAUAAUGUAUGUUCAUUAUGGAAUUGAUCAUCGAGUGAAAAAUCUAUAUACCCCUCAACAUAAUGUUAUAGCUAAGACGAGGAAUAGAAGCAUCCUAGAUAUGGCUAGGUGUAUGCUAAAGCAAAAAGGCAUGUCUAACUCAUUAUGGGGUUAAGAAGAUACUACUGAUGCGUAUGUGCUAAAUAUAUGUCCAACAAGGAGAUUGAAUAAUAAGGUUCUAGAAGACGUAUGAAGUGGAAAGACACCAUAUGUGAAUCACCUUAAUAUGUUUGGAUUUGUUUGUUACAAACAUGUGCCCAAUGCUAGAAGGAAAAAGCGGGAUGACAAGAGUGAAGCCAUGAUUAUGGUUGACUAUCACAAAACUGGUGCUUAUAGAUUGUUUAAUCCAAUCCAUGAGAAGAUUAUAAUCAGUAGAGACAUUAUUAUUGAUGAAAAUGAAGCAUGGAACUGGACAUCAAAUAACACAUGUAGUAAACCUUUGCUGAACUCAGGGUUGGAGGAAGAUUCAGAAGAAGAAGAAGAUGUUAUACCAGCUGACUUGCAUGAAGAUGUACCUGUGGUCAUUCAAAUACCUCAUAGAAUAAGGAUAAUCCCAUUAAGAUUAGAAGAUUGUGAGGUAAUUAAUGACAAUGAGGUUACAUAGGAUGGAGAUCUUGUUCAUUUUGCCUUACUAGCCGAUGUAGAACCUAUCAACCAUAAUGAAUCCUCGAAGAGGGAAGCAUGGAGUAAAAAGGAAUCAUACAAGGAAACUCAUCAAGUUACCAACCAAUACAAAAGAAAUUGAGUUAAAAUGUAUCUAUAAGCUAAAGCACAACCCUGAUGGCUUAAUAUCUAAGCAUAAGGUCAUACUUGUAGCAAAAGGAUUCAUGCAGGGAGCAGGUAUUGACUACUCAGAAGUGUAUGCUCUAGUUGCUAGAUUGGAAACAGUUAGGUUGGUAGUUGCCUUAGCCUGCAAGAAAAGCUGGUUGACAUACCAUCUUGAUGUGAAAUCUGCAGUUCUCAAUGGACCAUUAGAUGAAGAGGUCUAUGUCACACAAACUCCAGGUUUUGAGAAAGAAAGGAAAGAAAAUAUGGUGUAUAGGUUGCACAAAGCCCUAUAUGGCCUUAAACAGGCACCAAGGGCAUGUAACAAGAAAAUUGACUCAUACUUGGUGGAAUUGGGUUUUACCAAAUGUAGAUAUGAAUAUGGUGUAUAUGUGCAUCCAAAGGAGGCGACAUAACAAUUAUUUGUCUAUAUGUCGAUGUUUUGUUGGUCACAGGAAAUAAUAUCAAAGAUCUAGGCAAGUUCAAGCAGUUGAUGAUGAAGGAAUUUGAAAUGUCAGAUUUGGGAGAUUUAUCCUAUUUCUUAGGCAUGGAGUUUCUAAGAUUGGAAGAGGUAUGAUUUUGCAUCAAAGGAAGUAUGUUAAAUAAGUUCUUAAGAGACUCACCAUGCUUGAAUUUAGCCCUGCGACGUCACCUAUUGAAGCAAACUUUAGAAGAGUGAAGAUGAGGAUAAGGUCAAUGCAACCCUGUUUAAGCAGAUAAUAGGUUCAUUGAGAUACAUAUGCAAUAGAGCACCUGACAUAGGCUUUGCAGUUGGCUUGAUAAGCAGAUACAUGGAUGAUCCAAAGGUAUCACACAUGAAAUCUACAAGGAUAAUUCUAAGGUACCUAAAUGGAAUCAUGAAUUAUGGUAUCUUAUUUCCUAGAAACACAGGUGCUGAUGAUGCAAUAAUCAUAUGUUAUUUUGACUCAGAUUGGUGUGGAGAUAACUAUGACAAAAGGAGUACAACAUGCUAUUUUUUCAAGGUUUUUGGAGCAUAAAUAUCAUGGUGCUCAAGGAAGAAACCUAUUGUGGCAUUGUCUUCAUGUGAAGUUGAAUGCACAACAGAAUCCUGUGCAGCAUGCCAAGUAACAUGGAUUGAGUACAUGUUGAAAUAAUUAAAGGUUACAAUUAGAAAACUACUUAUUCUUCAAUUGUAUAACAUGUUAGUUGUCAACAUGUCAAGGAAUCCUAUUCUUCAUGGAAAGAUCAAGCACAUUGAAGCCAUGUUUCAUUUUUUGAGGGAGCAGGUGACUCAAGGAAAGUUUGAAGUAAGGCUUUGUUAAAGUGAAUCUCAACUGGCCGACAUCUUCACAAAAGGGUUGAAAGUUGACAAAUAUUUUGCUCUUAAGCGAAAUCUAGGAGUGGUUCAAUUCAAUAGUUAGAUUGUUUUGAUGCUUUGAUGUUUUGUUGUAAUACUUAGAAUGAAUUAUAAGGGGUAUGUUGUUAGUUAAUCCAUUUAAGGUAGCUAGACGAUGGUUAGUUAGUUAGUUAGUAGUUAUUUGGGUUGGUUACUUGGAUUACAAGUCACACAAUAUUUGAAUAUAAGUGAUGUAUUGAGUUUCAUUUCAAACUAAUGUUUCUAAUAAUAAUACAAACUCUUCUCACACAUGCCCUAUACAUCUUCUCUCACAACUUGCAUAUUCUCUCUUUCUCUUCACUAAGUGCAAUUGCACUAACAAUUGGAUCAUGGCUUAUUCAAUUUAGAAAUUGUGCCUAAUUACAAUCUUAAUCAUACUUAUAGGUAUUGAAAUAGUGUACCAGGAUGGUAUAUUAUUUAUAAGGUUCUAACAUGAAUUUCAACUUUACGUAACUUGUAAUAAUAUGAAACAUAAUCUAAUCUUCUAUGAUUUUCAAGAUAAAGGGAAGAAUUUUCUGUAAAACGCGAAAAAGGAAACAUGCAACCCAAAAAGUUGAUAAACAACUCCUAUAUUUUUUUAUAUGGUAAGUAAAAACAUAUUGCUUUUGACUUCAAAUAAUGAAAUACAGAUGAAUGCAAGGAUGGAAAUCAUGAAAAUUUCAACGAGUGAACUUGAUGGAAUAAAAAUGACAAUUUUAAAUGUGUGUUGUGUUUUUUGGGAGAGAUGUGUUGAUUGUAAUACAACAAAAAAAGAUAUUAAGUAUUUGUUUAUAAUGUCUCCACAGAGAUUGGUGCGAUAUGCAAAAGCCAUUAAAUAAUUUCUAUAAUUCAAAGUAAAAUAGUUUUGAAAUUAUUUUUAUUGUUUGACAACUUGAUUAAAAUAAUAGAGAAUGAAAAUAAGAUUUAGCAAAUGAAAUUGAGAUCAUCGUGGUUAUAUUUUAUUAUCCUAUUGUCAUGCAUACUCUUGAUCAAUUAUGUAUAUAUUUAGAAAUCAAUUAUAAUAUCAUAUAUCGCUCAGUGUCAGUUGUUUAUGUCUAAACAAGAACUUGAAAUCAGUCAUAUUUUUUAAGAGAUGAUUUCUCAACCGAUUAACCAAUACAAUAACAUUAAGUUUCGAUAGUAUACAUGAAUGUUAAACCUAAAUUUGUGUCCAGAGUUUAGCAUCUAACAUAUGAAAAUAUUUGAUCUAGUUAAGAAAAGUAUUUCUCAAUAUUAGUUCAAAACCAUUAUAACAAGUUAGAAGUAGCUAACUUAUAACAAGGAUUAAUAACAAAGAUAAUCAUCAAUAAUAACGAAUAACUAGAACAUACAUAACACCAUGAUAAAUAUGAAUACAUGAGUGCUUGGAUAAAAACAUAUAACCCCAAUAAAAGAGAAUUUAACCACUCUUACUCAUAGUAGCUUUACAAUGAUGAGGAGGAAUAAAGAGAUAAAAAAAGUAACCACGACGAUUUCUGGGUCAAAAAUAACCUCCACCUUCGAUUCUUCAAUAUAUCUCUUAGGAAUUUUCCCUCUCAAUUCUCUAUUGUUGUUAUAGAAAACUAUGGAAUACUGAAUUUGGAAUCAAUGAAUGAACCGACUAAUAUCUCUAUUUAUAUGUUCAUUUAUGGUGUUUUUGUCCACUGACGCCUUAAGCUCGCUUUGCGAUCUUUCUUUUUUGCAUCACUAUGUUUUGUCCAACUUGUCCAAGUUGGGAUUGAUCGCCUUAUCUCUCUUAUUGAGCCUCUAUGCUUGCCAAGUAAUAAAAUCAUUCAUUCACGCUUAAGUUACUUAAUUAAGUGGUCUUCUCAAGUGCCUAGUUUUGCUUGGAGAGCUUGACAGCUCGCCUAACAAGUUUUCUUACUUCAACAUGAAGUAGAUUGGCCUAGAAGAAAUUUUUAACCAUUUGUUCUUGCCUAGAGAGCUUAUAUAUUCUUUUGUUGAGAUUGAGUCAACAAAGGUGCCUAGAUUCUGCCCUAUUUUGGGCCGGUCUUUGACUGGGUGAGCCUAUGCCUCGCCCAACGAGUUUUCUACUACUCAGCUUGUUUAUUUUAUGACUUCUUUAGAUGAUUUCACUUGUACUUAUUAAUAUUAUAGUUAAAAUGUUCAUACAAGUGUUUAUCUCAUUUUUAUGAUAGAUUGGGGAUUUUUCAUGUGAUUUCUUGUGUUUUAAGUUAAUAAGUGCUUAUGCUAAAUGACUAAUCUUAACACAUAUCAAUAUGGAAUGGAGUUUAGAGAGUAAAGCAAUUGAAAAAAGGUAAGAUUAGGGUUAAAGGAAAGGUUUAUGACAUUUUUAGAGGAAAUGUAAGUGGAUGGUUGAGAGUUAAAGAUGAUUGCAUUUCUCUCAUCAAAUUUGGAAGAGUAUAGUUUAUGCAUAAUCUUUUCAAAGCAAUCAAAACGUCACUUUUCUCAAGUAGGCAUGCUUUCAAAAUAUGAUAAUAAUGAUUUAAAACUGUAAAUUGUAGAAAUUAAACACUAAGGAUAGAAAAAUGAGUUUCUUCCCGAUAAGAGUUUAUUCAACAAAAUUAUCUCAACCCUUAUUCAUAGAUAAUAAACACGGUGAGAGGUAUUUCCUAUCAUAUAUGCUAUUGAGUUCCUGGACGUCUUUAUUACCAUUCUCAUUUUUAAAAUGGUUCAAACAUACUUCCUUGAUCUGGUCUCUAAUGACCAAUCUAUUAUCAUGAACAUGUAUUAGCAUUUUUGUUGUCUAGAUGAAAGGUAUGGCCAUCAUCAGUGAGGAUAUAUCAUUCUCUCCUCACUCUAUCAUCAAAAAGUUUAUGCAUGAAUUCAAGUUUGAUCCCCCUUCAUUGCCUUUUCUUUCUUCUCCUACCUCCACUUCACUAUUCUCU